GUAUAUAAAAUCAAACUGCUGAUUUAAAUAUUCAGAUAUAAUAAUUAAACAAAGGUUCUGCAUACAAACAAAAGGUUGUACUGAAAUAAAUUUAAGACUACACGAAACAAAGGUUCUGGUGAAUGAAAAUUUUGAACUAAAUGUUGUAGAUAUUAAAUAAUUUAACUAAAUUUAAAUUGGACGACGUUUAGCCAUAAUCUCCUUCUGCAUCAUCUCCACCCAUUCACGCUGAAUCGUGGAAAGGGAGGUAGUGUCCGCAAACAUUAUUUCUUUCUCUUGCUUAAUCAAGUCGGCUUCGGCUCUUGUCUUCUCUGAAGCAGCUCUUGUCUUCUCUAUCUCUAGUGCUUCUCUAGCUCUUUGUUUCUCUAGCUCUAGUGCUUCCUUGUCUAGCUCAAAAGACAACAUAAACCUCUCAUUCUUAGCCUUCUCUUUUUCAAUGUCCGCAGCCUCCUUCUUUGCCCACAUCUUAUCAAUGGCCUCCAAGCAAGCUUCGCCACCACCUCGCCUUAGCUUUUCUUUAGCCUUCUUGACCCCAUCUGAUCUAAUCCUUGUACUUGGUUGUGCAGCAUCAUCAUCGCCAGCUUGCCCGUUGUUGGUUCCUUCCUCUUCCCUUGGCCGAGCCACCUUGGUGGACUUUUUUUUGGUUUUGUUUCCUGAUGCUGCUUGUUUCUCUAGCUGCAGAAGUUCCUUCCUUUUGAUUUUCCACUUGUCCUCCUCCUUCAGUAUGUUGUAAUAUGACACAACGCUGCACUUCUUCCCAUCCAUUUUUUCUACUCCCGAGAACAUCUUGAGGGCAGCUGCGAUCUGCACAAGUAGUAUGUCAAUAUAUGUAGCUGUCGUAAACAGAACAAGAUGAAAUUAAAAUUUGAAGAUAUAGUACCCUGUCUUGUAUAGUUGUACCACUUUAUUCCUACGUUCAAUCGCUUCCAAACACGAAGUGAACUUGUUCACUGCGGUCUGAAUUGAGAGCCAUCUAUGCAGAAGUGAACUCUCUGUCCUUGGAGUUGUACCCUUAUUGUGCUCCCAAAAGUAAGCAUGAACCUUACCCCAAAAGUUAGUACGGUUUUGGUUGGCUCCGUGAAUUGGAUCUUUGCUAGCGACCAACCAUCCUUCACAAACAAUUUCGUCUUCCUCCACACUAAAAUUUUUGGCCCUCUUCGAUCCCUUGUUACCACGAGAAGCAACAACUUCCACCUCGGGGCUAGCCUGAGUAUCCUGUGGAGUCAGUGGAAUGACAAGGUCGUCCAAACCUGAAACAUGGUCACCUUCUCCAUCCAGAAGAAUCCCCGACAAGAAAUCUUCUCCUUGUGGAUCCAUCUAAAUGAGUCUGAAAUAAGAUAUACAAGACCAUUCAAGAGAGAACACCGUAAAAUAUAUAUACACAAACUUUACUGAACAAUACCAUCCGAUGAAUCAGCAAAUAUAUGCAUUAAUAUAUGCAGUACAUCGUGAAAUAUAUACAAUAUUCUUUCCCAGCUUCUGUUCUGAAUUUUCAGAGGUGCCAUUCAGACUGUUCGUGUCAUUUUCAGAAGUUCUUUACCUGCUUCUUCUUUUGUCAUAUUAAAGUUUGCCCUUCAUUACAGGAGACCGUGAAUGGUUGGGGGCAAUCAGAUGCAGAUGAAUCGUCUGAAGUGCUUAUUCUCAUAAUAGAUUUAGAGUCAAUUCAAUAGGCUGAAAGUGCUGAACAGUGCGUCAAGUCAUACUAAUCUAGAUUAAAGUUACUUAAAAUUCGCUCAUGGGCAACACGUAGAUUUGCCAGCACGCUGAUUCAGAGAACAUGCUGUAUCGCCCUACAGGAAACACGUACAUGCAGUUUAUCUGCUUAUUAGGUGACCAAUGUUCCAAGAAAAGGAGGCACAAAGACAAACCACUCUUGAAGGCUCAUCGAACUGAUUAUGUACGUAUGCAGUACGUGUGAACUGAACUGAUCUGUCAUGUAUAUAUACUAGUAGGAUCGAUGUGUCUGAGUGAUGUAGAAUGAAACAAUCAGAUGGAUAUAGCGAACCUUAGACAAUGGACGAGGCCCUGGCGGGAUCCAAACAAUGGACGAUGGACGAGGCCCGACAGACCGAUGCAUACCUGAUCACACGGCGGCGGCGGCGGCGGGGCACAACUUCAGAUCGAGAUGAGCACCUGGUCGCGAUGGACCUUCAGACGACGGCGAUCUGGGAGGAAGGGCGCGGCGACCUUCAGACGACGGACAGUUUCACUUGUCGCGCGGGAAAGGGAAAGAAGAAGAGAGAUCGCGCGUUGCCAAGCGAGUCCGCGCGGCGGAUAGCUGCGAGCGCGGCUCAUGAUUUUGCCAAGCGUGUCAAUUUGCCAAAUGUGUUUGCCAAACUGUUGGAGAUGCAUUUUUGCCACUUUGGUCAAUUUUUCAAGGAUGCCAAGUGCUUUUUGUCAAUUGUUGGAGAUGCUCUAAGGGCUCUGUUUGUUGCUCCUAAUUAGUAGUUGAAGUGUGGUGCCCUUCAGUGAAUAGGGGCACUGUUUGUUUUCUUAAUUAGGUGCCCUUCAGUGAAUAAGGGCACUAUUUGUUUAAUUAAUUAAUAGUUCAAAAGUGUGGUAGUACUAGGGUAAUAAACUUAUCUAUAUAUAUGAGCAGGCACCAGAUGGGUGUGGGUUUUCAUCUAGAAUGUGGGUAACUUAUCCCCUGACCUCUAUUGAGUGUACCUUGCAUAUUUGUUUGUCUUUUUUCCCCAUGCAUGUUUAAGUGGUUGAAUUCUACUAGCAAGUCUAUUGCAACAUUGUGUCAGCAACAACCAUUGGUUACAACUUACAAGUACAUUGCGUCAGUCAGUACUGUCAGUCUUGUUAGCGGAAGAGAAAAAGGCUGCUUCCUCAUCUAGAGUAUUCACCGUCGUUGGUCCUUCGCGUUCUGGUUUGGUCUUUGGUGGGACGUUGUUGCGCCCGUUCGGCUGUGCUACUGUUCGUCGUUACCGAUGGCAUGGCCCUGUGAAUCUGCUGGUUCUGUUGCUUGUGUUUGUUACUGAAUGGUAGCCUGGAAUGGCAUGAGACCCUGUGAAUCGCUGACAUUUACGGUAAGCACACAUAGCAAGCGAUCCAGAUAAUAAUUGAUAAGUAUGCGCGUUCCUUCUUUGUUUCUUUGUUUUGGGCUUAAUGAAUUUGGAUGGAGAGAGAGAGAGAGAGGGGUAAGAUAUGCAUGAUCUCUGCAGCUGAAAGCCUGAAACUAGAUACGUACAAGUCCAGGUUGCUUGCUUUUACCUUUUAUUUCUCUCCUUGGUUUCAUUGUUGGCCUCGUGAGCUUGCUAGAGCUGCUACUGUAUAUGUAGCUGUCGUUAUUUCAGAAUCAGCUGAAGUAUUCGAUCUUGUGAUCGUAUGAAAGCUAGCACGGUCAGGUCAGAUCGUUAUGUAGAGAUGGAAUUGGAUUGCGAUGCCUGAUCAAACAUGGGACCGAAAGAAUCAAUUGUUAGAACCUGAGAUGCAUGGGCCAUCACUCUUCAGUCAUGACUGAUGAUACAUGAGGUUAGAAGAUAAUCAAAACAGAAAGAAACAAAGAAAAAUUCAAAAAAGUGUUGCAUAAACGACAUCACCAGCUAGCUGAUCGACCAAAACCACAAGAAAUGAGUGAGCGAGGCCGUUUUCAGCUGAAGACGUUUUCAGCGGUUGACAGACUGGGAGGAGUGCUAUAGCUAGGUGUCUCCAUUGCCGAACGAAUCACCCUGCACUGUGUGUUGUGCUCUGCUUUUAUCUUAACUCUGAAGUACCAAUUACCAAAGAGAUCGAGACGUUGUUACUUUGUUAGACUUGGCUCAUUUGCGAUCUUCAGUGUUAUAUAUUUUGCACGUGAUGAAAAACUCAAAAAAUUUAAUUUCAAAUGUAGAAAUACAUGAUUUCUACAGGCGGUUUAGUUAAGAAAACCGCCUGUAGAAAUAUGAUUUUUAGUGGCGUCACAGACGGUUCGUAGUUCUGACAACGCUCUUUUUACACCAUAGGCGUGUGAUAACUACAACCGCUUGUAGUAUAAAAAAGAGGCGUUUCACCAGUGCUUCACGCUAACGUGAAUCCUACUAAUAUAAGCCUGUCUAUGUCAUUUGGUUCUCUUGGAACUAGAUUUAUGGCCACUGACGUUUCCCGGUCUCAGCUCUAUCGUCCAAUCCAACCAUCGAUGUCUUCUACAGUAUCUCACAUGCUCAUCAUGAUCCUGUACAAUCCACCACGCUUGAUCCUGUACACCUGCAAGUGCAAUCUGAGAGCGGGGCUCAGGUGGCUCUCACAAUUCAUGGGGUCAAGUCAACAUUGGAUUUGGAUGGGCUCUAGAAACAAUAGGCCCAAGGAAAAAAAAAAUAUCCUGUAGGACAUUCCCGCCACGGGCGCGUGGUUGUGUCUCUCAGCUCUAUCCAGGCCGCUGUGUGUUAGUUAGCUAGCUACUUUCGAGGUUUGAGCCCACAAAGAAACUGCUACGCCGCCCACAUGGACUGCGAUGGAGAUGGAGGACACGCACUAGGGCCAAACUACUCCGGUCCUAAAAUAAUAAUCAUAUUUUAAAUAUAUAAUUUUGGCUAACAAUUGUUUAAGUUAUAUACAAGUUCAGAUAUGAAUCUUGUACUGUAUCAAUGUACUGGAUUGUAUUUAAAAUGCAAAAAGUUUUUAGAUCUAAACAAGGUUUCACUUUAGGCCAGUCUCAAUGGAAGUUUCAUAUGAGUUUCAUUUGCAUUAAAUAGGUUGUCACAUACUCCCUCCAUACCCAAAAAACCUGACGUUUAGGACAUGAUUGUGGUAACCAAGGAGUAAUUAAUUAGGGGUUAAUUUUCCUUCUUUGCCCUUAAUAAAUAAGGUUGUUGUUGCCCUCUGUACGAGAAAGUUAAUCGGCUUAACUGGUUAGUGUGCGAAGCUCUCGGAGCUGCGUCUCCGGUUCGAACCCCGGUAGCCUCAUUUUUUAUUUUUGGCCUGGUGUGCAAGACCAAGGGAGGCGUUGCAUGGGACCUGGUGCUGUGCAGGUGCGGUUAAUGCUGCAUGGCGAUUGGGCCUGGUGCGGCGGCAAAGGCAGCUGGUGCGGCAGAUGUAACAUCCCGGAUGUUACGGAUACUAAAACUGGAUCAUGUCAUCAUAAGCAUUACAAAGCAUAUUUGUUAAGCACAUUAUUAUGCAUCAAAUUAAAACAAGUUUAUUUUGAUUGCUUGUGCUUAGGGAAGUAAAGUGUGCUUAUGUUGUGAAGUGAUGCUUGUGUUGGUUGUAUAAUCCCUAGGGUGAAAGAUUUCCGAGAAAAUGGGGGGGAACCCUGAUUUUUGAACCCCAGUUUUGCCCCCUUUUUCACAAUUUAAAAACCAAGCAAAAUUUGAAGUUAAGUUCAAAAGCAAAGUUGUAGAUCUUGUCAAGAUGUACAACUUUGGUGUUUUGAGUUUUUUAAGUUUCAAUACAAAAUUUAAAGUAAUUUUGAAAAUACAGAUUUCCAGAAAGUGUCCCCUUUUCCAAAUUGAACCUCCAAUUCAAAAUCUAUUUGGAAUUUUGAAAAGUGACCAACAUUAAAGUUGUAGAGCUCAAAAAGUUGAACAACUUUCGUGUUGGGAGUUUUUCAAGUUGUUGAGAAAAAUCAAAAGUAAUUUUAGAAUUUCUAAUCUGCCCCAUUUCAAAAUUGGAAUUUCCCCAAUUUGAGAUUUGAAAUUCAAACUGUUUUGAUUAAAUUCAUCACCUUCCUUUCGAAAUCUGAAUUUGAGUCUUAAAUGAAUGUUGUAGGCAAUUUUGUGCUGCACAUUUCUUGCUUUGGUAGAUUUCUGAGUUUUUAUACAAAAUAAAAAGUAAUUUUGGAAAUAGAAAAGGGGAGGAUAAGAAUGCUACAGUACAUCACCAAUGGGAGCAGGGCACGGCGACCCUGCUCGGUGGCGUUGCUUCCCCACGUCACCUCGAGCAUGGCUGACACGCAGCUGCCUGCUUGGUUGAAGUCACCGUGAUAUGGACGAGUUGAAGGCAUCCUCCACCAUCUCCAAUUCCCUGACCGGCUUUCUUUCUCUCCGGAGCCGGCAGAAACGCCGCUGCCACCCGCCACCGUGGUCAGCCCUCCUCUGUGCUUCUCCACCACUUCUGAGCAGCUUGACGAAGUCGUGCUGAGUCCCCGAUGCUCCCCAACUCUUCUCCUCGCCUUCCCGGCAGCCGGAGCGCCACGUUUUCCCCUAAGCCCCGUCCAGAGUUCCGCCGGUGUCGCUGUUCACGUGGCCAUGCCUCCACAGACCACCUCUGGCCAAGUAGAGGGAACCAGAGGGUGUGCGUGAGUCCAGGUGAACUCCCCCGCUGCUCCACUGCCGCCGACGAGCACUCCAACGCCGAAACUGCGAUCUCCGACGAGCUGCUCUGUUUCCAGUUCGCGACCACGGACUUCGCGCGACAAUUUGAAGUUCUCCAGGGGUCUAAUUGCAUAGACCGUGACUCAGGUGAAUAGUGCUAUAAGAACUUGUUUGUAGAUGUUUUGUUGAAUCUUUGAAAAUUCAUAUCUAGAGUUUCGUAGCUCCAAUUUUGGUGAACCAAAUUUUGUUGUGCUCCUUGAAAUGUCUAGUUUUUAUUAAAAAUAUGGAACUGACUAUGUUUUAUAGUAAAAUAAUUAGUUAUGAAUUAUGUCUUUUAAUUAUGCUUAAAAGGAAGAAAUUCAUAUCUAUUGCUGUAUAGCUUCUUUUAAGAUGAAACUUUUAUGGUAGACUAAUGAUUAUGUUUAUGUGCUGUGGUUAAGUUUUUAGAUUCAUUGGAUGACAUAUGAUUAAGUUAUUAAUUUAUCUUGUGUAGUGCUUAUUAAAUAGUUUACAAUUAAACUAAAAAUGAAUAAAUGUAAAAUACAGUUCCUCUGCCUUUAUAUGAGGUUGUUAUAACAUAUAGAUACAUAAUUUAGCUAUGUGUUUGUAUAAAUUGUUGAGUUUCUUAUUUAUCUUGCCGUUACAUGCUUCCUUGUGAUGGAAAUUUAUCUUUUUCAUAGAAAUUGCUAUACUUAUCCAAAUGGCAUGAAACUUAUACAGUAGACUUUGGAGAGCAUAUAUGAGCUGCUGUAGUUUUCUCAGAAUUUACUGUGUACUUUUGAUAUAUGGUUAUUGCUUUGUCUAUUUACCUAAAUAAAUUAAUAAAAACAUGAAAGGAAUUUAUUUAGGGAUGACCAUGAUGUUUUCUAGUAUCUCUUUGAUGUAUUUCAACUAUUGGUGAGCUGGGUUUUGCCCAGGUCCAAGUUUGAAACAUAAAUGAAAUGUUAUUUGUCUAUAAUUAAAUUAUUAGUGAUUUCUGGACAGUUUCUGGAACCUUAUGAAUUGCUCUAGGUAGAUAAUGAUGGAUGUGAAACUUGUCUAUAACAAAGUUGUAUAUAAUUCAUGUAUCUACCUGGUGUUAAAUUUUAGUGGCAUUUGGCCCUAUAGUUUCUGAGUUAUGCCUGUUUAAAGUUAAGUUUCAGAAAUGGUUCCUCUCUGUCAAAUUCUGGAUCAGUUUCUGUAGUUGUGCAAUUUCAACCUACUAAACUUAUGAAUCAUGCUUUCAUGAUAAAAGAUGAAUUGUAGUAAUGUUCAUAAGCUUUCCAAAAUGUUAUGGAUCAUGAAUUUUGGUGAUCUAGAACUCUGGUUAUAGAUGUAUGAAGCUUAAUGUCUGAUUCUGUCCAAGGUCUGGACAGAAUUGUUUAUUCAUACUGUUUGGCCAUUUUAUCUUUCAAAUCAGUUCUCGAAGAUAAUAACAAAGUUGUAGAAAAUUAUCUAAGCUUUCCAGAAAGUCUAAUAUCACCUUUAUUGGAUGUUUGGAUCUCUAAUUAUGGUUGAAUGAAGUUGUGUAUAUGCUGCUGUCCUGGUUAUGUGUGCAAAUAGAGUUAUUUGUUUUUAGCUAGCCUUUACUUAAAUAAUGAGUUGCUUAAUUUCCAAAUUAGAAUUUGAGUGCUUUUGGGAUUGUGUGAUGACCUAAGGUCAUUAACAUUAAUGACCUUUGGCACUUAAUUAUUGUUUGAUGUUAAUACUUAAUUACUGCCAUUAAUAUUUAAUUAAGAAUUGAUUAAGAUAAAUAGAAAACCUAAUCAUUUUAGGUUUUGAUUGGUCUUUGGGAUUGAUUGAUAACUAGUGGUUACUUGGCAUGAGAUCUACACAACCUUGCUUAAUGAAGAUGAUAAAAUUUGUUUAGUAGUAAUCUAUGUUUUGAUAACUAAGUUAGUUUGUUUCUAUACCGUGAAGGUAAGUUGUACUCGAGGCAGUUAUGUUUGUUGUUAUCAUCCAAGAACUUGUAACCUGUCUUUAUCAUGUCAUGAACAUCUCAUUGAUCAUGCAUAUGCACCUCUACGUGUAGACUACGCUCCGGAGGAAUCUAAUCCUCAGUGGGUUGCUUCCGAGUUUGUGGAUCCAUCUGGUUUUGCUGAGUUGUCGGACUUCCCUUCCGGUCAAGGCAAGCCCCGGACAUUAAACCCUAUCCUUGUAUUUUCAUAAAGUCAUUUAUAUCACUUGAGUUAAUAUGAUGCAUUAGGUGAAUAGGAGUUGAGUGAAUCCUAUUUGCUGCAUUACCUACCUUGGUGAUUCUUAUAUUAACCUUGACACCUGUUUAUGAAAAUGCUUAGUAUGCUUAGCCCUGCUUAGUAGAUAGGUUUUCAAAUGAGAAAGUUUGAAGGGUUGUUGUGGAAUACUUUUAUGGUCAAUAAUGUUUCAACUUGAGACCGGUCGGUGGACUUGCUUUAAGAAUGGAGUCUUAAAGUAGUGUCUCCAACUGUGUCGAUUAAGGACCGUACCGUUGUUGGCCUGUUGUGAUUGAGAACUUUGAGUACAGCCCACAUGCGGCGGUAAGCCUUACCUAUAGCUAUUCCGAUACUUGAGAACGGCUAACCGCGUACUGGGAGUGGAGAGAUGGCGAGAGUAGCGUGUACCCACCUUACGGAUCUGAGAUGACCGGGAAACAUCUAGAUUGGCUGUAGGAUGGUGGUGUACUGUACUCUCGGGUGACGCUGGACCCGUUCUUGUAUGGGAGGAUCUAUAGAAACAGGUUGACAUAUGCAAGAUUAAGUUCUACAUAUGUCGUGUGGUACUGAAUCCCCAGCUGGGUUUAAUCGAUUCGAAUCGCCGUGUUUCCUCGGAUAUGGAGCCUCAAUCCUCACCCCAUCAUCGUAGUGAUAAAUAAACUUUGGUAUAAGAAAGAGGUGGUUUGCUUAUGAAAGUUUGAUAAUAGUUUUGGUUAGUCAUAAAUGAUGAUCUUGAGUUAAAACUUGAAAGUAGGUUUUACUCUUAGUAAGCUUUUAUGCAAAAGAAAUGCUUUAUCUUGAUAAAGCUUUACCUUGAAUCCCUAUAGCCUGCAUACCUGAGUCUUCACCUCUUUUCUAGUCGGUUAAGUCUUGUUGAGUACUUUUGUACUCAGGGUUUUAUAACCCCUGUUGCAGGUGCUGACUUAGACUGCUAAUGGAGGUCAUGUCGGUGGGCGCGACAUGAUUUAUCCACCUCUUCUACCUUAGAAGCUUCACCUAAGAUGCUUCCGCUACUCUAUACACCUUUUGGAAAUUUAGUUAAGUUUAUACUUCAUCAUAUGUUGUAAAUUAAGUUAUAAAUCUUCCGCACUCUGAUCUAAGUUAUUUUUGUAACAAAUGUUGUAAUGUUGUGGUAACUCCAUGUUGAUCCUGUAUGAGUUAAAACGUGGAUGAUUCGGGUUUCCCGAGGACACCCGACAGACUUCUUGAGUCAUUUGGAACUCGUGCACACCGAUCAGAAGUCUUUGAGACAAUGAUAGGUGCAUGUGGGCCACUUAAUUCAGGAGGUUCUGCCACAGCAGAUCAAGGGAGGCGCCGUCCAGGUUCCAUUAAUGAGGAUCGAAAGGAUCGAGGCGCUGCGAGUGAGACAGUUGCGAGCCUGACGGGAGGGAGGGCAAACGCGUCCAAAUCAUCUUCUACCGUAGAACGUCAGGUUUUAUAAAAACAGUGAGGGAGCUUAGAACGUCUACUUUUUUGGUAUAGAGGGAGUAGUCUUUUUGAUGACAUGGCGGUGUAUUUAAGAAGAGAGAAAAGAAAUGAGAAUUCUCUUGGCACGAUUACCAACUCUCUAUGAGUCUUGGAAUUAAAUGUCUAUGAAACUAUAAAAUGAAACUCUCCAUUGAGAGUGGGUGUUUCAUCCAAAUUUCAUUUCAUUUCACAUGACAUAGCAGUCUUGGAAACAACGUCACGAAACUCCCAAACUGAGACUGGCCUUAAAAAAUUUGAGUCUUCUUUAGACGGUUACCUUUGGUCAUCCUUAUAUGUUUGGCUAGAUACUUUAGACCUUAUUUAGUUCCCAAAAUUUUUUGUAAAAUUUUUCAGAUUCCGUGUUAUAUCGAAUCUUUAGACGCAUAUAUGAAGCAUUAAAUAUAGACGAAAAUAAAAACUAAUUAUACAGUUUAUAUGUAAUUUGCGAGACAAAACUUUUGAGGCCCAGUUAAUUCAUGAUUGGACAAUAAGUGCUACAACGUCCAUUUUGUAAAAAAAAAACUAAACAAGGUCUUAAUUAGUUAGUAAGGUUGUGUAAGUACCUUUUUCCCUUUUAAUGGAAAAAAAUUACCCACCGUGGAGAUCUUUGCCGUUCAAAAAAAAGUUAUUAUUGGAGAUGCCUGAGCUUUGUAAAAUAUCGGUGACUAUUGGAGCUGACGUGUACAGCAGAGAGGGCGAGGUGGGCCGGGGGAGUAUGGAACCAGAAGGACCGACGACGCUGUGUUUGGAAUUAUUAGCAUCAAUGGCGUCGUCGUCUUUAAUUUGUGUGUCAUCGCCGUCCAACGAGCAACCACCAACCUACUCAAUUGACGCGUGCAAUUUAAGGGUACAGUAAAUGCAGUCUAAGCAUGGCCAUCACGCCGGCGCCGGCUAUAAUCACGACGGCCAUUAACGAUAAAAAAACAAAACAAUCGCCCAUGGGUGUCUCUCUUGUUGAAUUGUUGCGUACUCUCUCUAUUUUAAAAUAUAAGACGUUUAACUUUUCAAUUCUAAAUUUAAUUACUUAUUUUAAUUAUAAACUAAUUAGAUUUUAAAAAUGUAUCUCGCGUUUUUCAUACAAGUACAAACUCUAUGCAUAUGAUAGGUUGCCUGGGUGUGAGAACUACUACAUCCGUCAAUUCGGCAUGCAGACCCUGCAUUUACGCGGUCAAGUUGGUGACGGAUACCUUCGGGUUAUCGGAGACUACAUACGGACUGUACUGCACACUCUAGCUAGCUAGCUAGUGCCAACAGUCGCCGGUAUCUGUCGCACCAUGCAUUAUUGAGGGCUGCACCAUACCAUACCAUAUGUGUCGCGCGCGUCCCUGCCACCCGCCCGUCCGCGCCGGCUAUAAAUGAGCGACGAGGCGAGCCGGGCCUCUUCACUCGGUGCGGUGCGGACACCACAAAUAAACACCAUAUAUCCAGCUCGAUCGAUCGACGAUAAACAACAACACAUGGCGAAGCAGCAGCAGCAGGCGAUGGCGCUGCUGAUGAUGCUGGUGCUGGCUGCGGAGACGGCGUCGGCGGCUUCGUGCAACGCGGGGCAGCUGACGGUGUGCGCGUCGGCGAUGUUGUCCGGGGCGGCGCCCUCGGCGGCGUGCUGCUCCAACCUCAAGGCGCAGCAGGGGUGCUUGUGCCAGUUCGCCAAGAACCCCGCCUACGCGCGCUACGUCAACAGCCCCAACGCGCGCAAGACCGUCGCCUCCUGCGGCGUCGCCCUGCCGCGCUGCUAAGCCGCCACCAGCCCUCAUCACGGCUGCUGCCAGCGCCGCUCUCUCGAGCGUAUCUGCGAGGAAUAAAGGAUGGGUUAUUCGUCCAUGCACUUUGCCGUCUGCCUGGCUGCUCCCAUCCCUGCUUAUAUUAUAUAUGCUCUUGUGUAUGCACGUUUGUGUAAUGUGUGUCCAUCGAUAUAAAUAUAUUAUAUAUAAUACCGGUCCAGUUUGUCACAACGGCUUUAGCUUCAACAGUAACUUUAAUUUACCAUUCAAGGUAAAGCUAUUUGCUGGAUAAAUCAUUUGACAAACCAGAUUUAUACACAUAAACCCUUUAAAAACAUGCUAAACAAAAUCAACACAUGGCCUCACAAGAAUAAUUUGAAACUGGAAAAAGCUAAUAUUUUUAGCUUCACCUCGUACAAAUCUUUUGCGAGAGCAUAUUUCUUAAAAAAAUAUCCAUUUAAUAUAAAAAAAAUUCAAACAGCUCUGUCGAUGUUUUACCACUAAUAGCCUACGACGGGAGUAAUCAGAACAUUUGUUCGGGCUUCGAUGUAUGUUGGAACUUAACAACAAACACAAGAGACAGACGAUUUAUCCUAGUUUAGACUUUCGAGUUUAAUCUCGAGUAGUAGCCUUUAUGUCCGAUCGGCGUUAGACUUUGCGUUGUAUUGGGUGUAUUGUAUUGUUCGUAGUUAUAAGAGCAAGGCUAAUGAUUUAGCCGGCUGAAGGCUGUAUAGCAAUGCCAUGUCACAUAAAGCCCCUGCUACAGCCGGCUCAUAUAAUAGGUUGGCUGUUAGGCUAGUUGUAUUACAGAGCUAAUAUUUAAUGACUGAAGAUGUAUAUCAUCUGCUGUUGUCUGUAUCUUUGUAGCCAUCCAUCAAACUACUAAGGUCGCUUGUUUGAUAAUCAAGAUAAAGGCUUCACAGAUUGCCAUGCUGCUCCAUCGAUGGCCGGUUUUGAUGACAGGCAGUAGUCAGGAAAGAACAGAGCAAUAUUCCUAAAAUUAAAAAAAUUCAAAUACAUCUCACUAAAGAAUAAUCAGGUAAAAUUGAUGAGCAAUGGAAGAUGCAUAUUAUGCUUUGCAUUCAAGCAAUAGGUCCGUACGACAUGAUAGGCUGAGGUUGCGAGCUUGCGGCGGCGGUCGGACAGGCUACCGCUGAGUGACGCCGGCAAGACCUCGAGAGGUAGUGAGGCACCGCGACGUCGCAGGUCGGUCCGAUGCCAUCCGCCAUGGCUGAAGAUUCGCCCCGCCGCCGAAGAGCAGCUAGUCGCCCAGCCCCGUGCGGUCCAGCCGCGCGGACGAGUCCCCACCGCCGCCGAGCAACCCAGCUUUGCGCGGCUCCGCCAGUGCUGCCGGACACGCAGCCACCGUACCCCAGCCCGUGCGGGCGCGCCCCACGCUGACACGAGAUUUGCCGUAGGAAGAGAGGGAAGGCGCGGAGUCCGCACGGGAUCGAGUGGGAGAAAACGUGAGGAGAGAAACGUCGGCUUAGCGCUUGCAGCUGGCUGGAAACGGGCGGUAUCAGGCUAUUCAGCCGGGGGAAGAGUUGGAUUCUUCCCGUCCGAACGUUCGGACGGGAGCGUCGGUCCGAUGAUUGCCGCGCGACGUUCCCGCGCGAUGGCCGUCCUCCCGCGCGUGGACGCGAGCAGCCGCUAGCACGGACGACGGUUUUUAUUCCAGGUAAGUGCGUUUGUUUUCCCUUUUGUUUCCUUUUUUUUUUCUUUUUUCCUUAUUUUAUCUUCUUUUCUUUUUCUUUAUUAUUUUUUCCCUCUCAUUCGCUGUUGUCUAGUUUUUUUCUUUUUCUUUAUGUUUCUUUUCCUUUUUUCUUGGUAUUUUUAUUUUCUUUAUUUUUUUUGUUUCUUUCCUUUUUUUUCUUAUUUUCUUUUUAUAGCUACAAUUUAAUUUUACUUUAACUUUUUUUGUUUAUCUUAUUUUUUGUUUUACUUUUUUCAUGUGAUUUACAUUAUUUUUUUAGUUUUUUAUCUUAUUAUUUCUUCUUUUUUGUUUUUACUACAAUUAACUAUUAUAUUUGUUUUACUUUAUUUAUUUUUAUAUUUUAUUCUUUUUUGUAUUUAUUUAUUUUUCUUUUAUCUUUUAUCUUUAUGUUUUCUAUAGUUCAUUAUUUUCUAUUUUUCAUUUUUUUCUUACAUAAAUAUUUUAUUUGUUUAAUUUUUUAUUUUUUAUUUUUUGUUUCUUCUCUAAUUAGGUUUUGUUUUAUUCAUGUUUUUUAUUUUUUUUAAUCUUUUUUAUUGUUUAACCUUUUUAUUUUUUCUUUUGUUUUUUUGAGAUUUUUCUUCUUUUCAAGCAUCUUCUAUUUUUAUUUCCUUUUUAAAGAUAUUUUAUGUUGUUUUUUUAUGUUUAUGUAUGAUGUUUUAUUUUUUUUAUGUUUACAUGAUAUAUGUAGUGUUUUAUGAUGUUUUUUUAUGUUCGCUAACAUACAUAUCAUGUUCUUGUAAUAUAUAUGUGAUGUUCUACAGUAUUUUUUGUGAUGUUCACAUAGUACAUAUACGAUGUUCUACGAUUUAUUUAGUGAUGUUCUAUAAUGUAUUUAAUGAUGUUCUAUGUUGUAUUUAGUGAUGUUCCAUUAGUAUAUAUGUGAUCGUCAUGUAAUAUAUAUACGAUGUUCUAUAAUAUUUUUAGUAUCAUAUAUUUAGGGGGUGUUUGGUUGCUACCCACAAUUUGCCACACUUUAACUUAGGCAAGUUUGACCAAGUUGGUAAGUGUUUGGUUCACAACUAAGCUUAGGCAUGAUUCUUUUGGGCUCCACAUGUCAUUGAGUUAAAAAGUGUGGCAAGAUUCCUUUAGGCAUGACAAAGUGUGGCAACCAAUUUGCUAGCCACACUUUUUGUGGCUUGCCACACUUACCUAAAGUUAGUUGUGGUAGAUUGUGGCUAGCAACCAAACAUCCUCUUAGUGAUGUUGACAUAAUAUAUAUGUGAUAUUCUGUAAUAUUUUAGGAAUGUUCUAUGGUGUAUUCUGUGAUGUUCGCGUAGUAUAUAUAUGUACGUUCUUACAGUAUACAAUGAUGUUCUAUGAUGUAUUUUAUGAUGUAUUUUCUUUUAUGUUUCUUUUAUUUUUCCCUCCCGAUCGUUGCUGUUAGUUUUCUUCUCUUUUUUUGUUUCUUUUUUCUUUUUUCUUUUUCUUUUUAUUUAUUUAUUUAUUUCCUUUUCUUUUUUUUCUUUUUUCUUUUAUUUUUUCUUAUUUUAUUUUAUUUUUCUUUAUCUUUUCAUUUUCCUUCCUGCCCGUUGUUGUAUAGUUUUCUUUUUUUGUUUCCUAUUUGUUUUUUCUUGGUAUUUUUCUUUAUUUUGUUUUUUUUUCUUUUUAUUUUUCCCUAAUUCAUGUUUAUAGAUUCAAUUUAUUUUUAUUUUUCUUUUAUGUUAUUUUAUAUUUUUAUCUUUCUUUUAUUUUUUCUCUUUAUUUUUUUAUUCCUUUUUGUGCUUCAUUUUUUCCCUUUCUUUUUUUCAAUUUUUAUUUCAUUCAUCUUUUUAUUUUUUUGUUUCUUUUGGCAAACAUUAAUUUAGUGCUGGUUACAAAGGUGUUUAUUAGAUUAUUUUUUGUGGAAUACAUACAUGCAUGUGAUUGAAACGCUACAAACGUCUUGAUAUUGAUCUUAUGGUGGUUGUUUAAUUUUUUUAGUGGACUAAUAUCAUAGGAAGCGAGUGAUAUUAUUUUUCGUUUCUGUUUCAUUCAAUUUUCCAUAUUAUUUUUAAUUUUAUUUUUUAUUACUAUCAUUAAUUAGUUUUAUUUAUUCUUUUUUAUUUCUUUUUUGUCUUUAUGUUUUUAUAGAUUUUUUAUUUUUCUACUUUAUCUUACUUAAUUAUUUUUUAUAUUUACUUUUUUCUUUUCUAUAUUUCAUGAGAUGUGAUGUAAAAUGAUGUUUUUUGCAGCGUUCAUGUGGUAUACAAUGCCAUUUUUUGAUGUUUUUUUAUGAUGUUUAUGUAGUAUAUGUAAUGUUCUAUGGUUUUUAUGAUGUUCAUGUGUUAUAUAUGUAAUGUUCUAUGAUAUUUUUUUAUGUUCGUGUUAUAUUUUUGUGAUGUUCUACGAUUUUUUUGUGAUGUUCGUGUAAUAUAUAUCUGAUAAUGCAAUAUUCUAUAUUGUAUUUGGCGAUGUUCUAUAUUGCAUUUGGUGAUGUUCGAUGGUUUAUUUAGUGAUGUUCACUUAGUAUAUAUGAUGAUGUACAUAGUGAUAUUCACGUAAUAUAUAUGUGAUGUUCUAUAGUGUAUUUAAUGGUGUUUUAUAUCGUAUUUAGUGAUGUUCUAUGAUGUAUUUAGCGAUGUUCAUGUUAAUGUUCGAUAGUGAAUUUAGUGACGUUCAUUUAGUAUACAUGUGAUGUUUUUUUUGAUAUAUUUAGUGAUGUUCAGGUAAUAUAUAUACGAUGUUCUAUAAUGUAUUUAGUAAUGUUCUAUGGUGUAUUUAGUGAUGUUCACUUAGUAUACAUGUGGUGUUCUAUGAUGUACUGAGUGAUGUUUAUGUAAUGUAUUUGUGAUGUUCUGUAAUAUAUUUAGUGAUGUUCCGUAAUGUAUUUAGUUAUGUUCACUUAACAUACAUGUGAUGUUUGCCUUUUAUUUUUUCCAUAUUCCAUUGUAUAUGGUAUACACAUGAUGAAUGAGAUACUGUAUGAUUAUCUUUAAGUAUUUUCACAACAUAUUAUGUAGUAUUCAUACAACAUGUUAUGUAGUAUUUAUACAACAUGUUAUGUAGUAUUUUCCCAUGGUCCAUAUGUUAUAUUAUACACAUGAUGUUCUACUUGUGUAAUGUUAUUUAUUAUAUAAUUAUAUAUUUUUAUUUUAUUUAUUUAUCGGUAUUAUAAUACCAAUCAUUUAAGUGUGUUUUCAUAUGGAUAUUGUUUUUUCUAAAUUUAAAAUAUUUUUUUGUGAAGGCGGAAUAUUGUUUUAUGAAUCUAGAACACCACCUUUAUUCAAUAAUAAAAGAAAAUAUUCUAUCUUUAUGAAAUACAUAUUCGUUAAUAGAAUAUAUUCAUGUUGAGAUCUUAUUUUGAAGCAUUUAGUAUAAGGAAUCCAAUAGUGCAAUCUGAAUUUAAUUUGGAUACUUGAUUUGCUAACUAUAACGAAGAUGGAACAUCGUCUCUUAUGAAGAUGGAACAUUAUUUUUUAAUGAAGAUGGAACAUCGUCGCCAUGUUUAUAAUACCAAUACGGUUCUUAGAAUAUUUUAUUAUGAAGAUGGAACAUUAUUUUUUAAACCUUAAACAUCGUUUAUCUUUAUAUGAUAAUUAUUCGUUAUUAAAAUUUUAUCUAAAUAUAUCCAUGUGGGAUCUUGUUUUGAAGGAUUUAUUACAAGAAAUCAAAUGGUGUAAUCGAAAUUUAAUUUGGAUAUUUUGUUUAGGAGUUAUGACUUUUUUUUCAUUAAAAGCAUGCGUUGUAGGUAACAAGGAUAUGUUGCUGCACUAUCACCUCGCACCAGCUGCGCAUGGUAAAGCCACGAGCCAAAUUUAAUUAGUAUGUGUGAGAAUAAAUAUUUACCAGCACCGGCCAUAGAAAAAGUACAUUAAAUGUCUAAUUUGGAAACAGUCUAAGAACGACGUGCGCUGCAGAGGUAAAUGUAAUUUUCGGCACUAAAACCGUGGGAAUCUAAAUAUAUUCAUGUGAGAUCUUAUUUUGAAAGAUUUAUUGUAAGAAAUCUAAUGGUACAAUCGGAAUUUAAUUUGGAUAUUUGGUUAAGAAGUUAUGACUUUUUUUAGUUCAUUUAAAAAUCAUUACGUGUAUGAGUCAGAGCUAACGUGGGUGUGUUGCUUUAUGUACUACUUGUACGAUAGCACAGCACGACGUGGAAAAAGGCUAAUAAAAAUAGAUUCGGGCGCCAUCAACCGGAAAAUUCCGAGUACCAUACGCGCGCAAACGUCUGACGCGGGAAAUUCGAGCGGGAAUCUGCCGGACAAAGGAUGCGGUCCGAACGGCCGGACCGCAAGAGCCCCCGGGAAGAGUUUACCGCCGGCUGGUUCUCUCUCCAUUUCUCUCUCUCUGCCACAUCAUGAUUUUUUCCUACAUAGCUUGGAUUCAGCCGGCUGAAUCAGCCUCAUCUUUAUAUUGGUAGAGAUAAUUGAGAGGUGACUUGCUAUUAUAGAUGAAUUCAAAGAUAGUGUUCUAUUUCUAAGGCCUUGUUUAGUUUGGAAAAAUUUUUGGAUUUCGCUACUGUAGCACUUUCGUUUGUUUGUGGCAAAUAUUAUCCAAUCAUAGACUAACUAGGAUCAAAAGAUUCGUCUCGUGAUUUACAGGUAAACUGCGUAAUUAAUUUUUGUUUUCGUCUAAAUUUAAUGCUUCAUGCAUGUGCCGCAAGAUUCGAUGUGACGGCUUGAAAAAUUUUGGAAACUAAACAAGGCCUAAUACAGAAGACAUUUUUUAUAAAAAAUUUAGCUAGCAUGCUAAUAUUCUACUCGAAGUCAAAGAUGCACUUCGUUUAUCGUGGGCCAGGUCGAGCCCCACCUUCCUGUCGGUGAGGAACCCUGGAUCCCAUAACGACAAGCCCGUACAAGCAGGAGUUGAUGUCGUUCACUGUACAUGCAUGCGUAGGUAUGUACACAUACACAUGGAUGAUGCAUUCAUGGCGAUACGAUCGAGGAUAUUCGCGUUCCUCAUCACUGGACCGGUUUAGGCCUUUUUUAAUUCUAAAAAAAUUUAGGAAAAUGACAUUGUAACAUUUUCGUUUUUAUUUGACAAAUAUUGUUUAAUUAUAGAGUAAUUAGGUUUAAAGGAUUUGUCUCGCGAUUUACAGGCAAACUGUGUAAUUAGUUUUUUAUUUUAUCUAUAUUUAAUUUUUCUAUAUAUAUGCCGUAAGAUUUGAUGUGAUGCGGAAUUUUGAAAAUUUUUUUGUUUUUGAGUCAACUAAACAACGCCGGCCCCGCGUGCGUGGUAUUUUACAUUUUUUCCCACGUGCACAACAACUAAACUACCUAUCUGCGGCUCUGUCCCAAACAAAUUAACUCACAGAGCUGUAUUACUAAGUUAAAAUUUGUAAGUUUGACUGAAACUAUAUAAAAUAACACUAAAUUUUAAUUAGGACACAAAAUCAGUAGCAUUAGAUAUACCAUGCAUGAAAUAUAUUGUUCUAUAGGUAUUGAUAUGAAAUUUCUUAUAAAUAAAGUUAACAAGUUUAUAAUAUUAACUUAUAACAACUCUAGUUAAUUCUGCUUAGGAAUGAAAAGUCCAUGUGUUUAUUGUGUUCCCGUCCCGACCUUAUGCACAGCUCCAGAGUCCAGACGAACGAUGGAUUGCUGGUGAAAGUCGAAGCUUUUUCCUCAAUUACUAUGGCCUUGUUUAGUUCAUCAAAAACAAAAAACUUUUCAAGAUUCUCUCCAUACCCAUAAAGAAAAUCGCUUUGAACAAAGUUUGAAUCAAACAUUGAAAAUAUAAAUUACGAAUAACUUUUAAGUUGUUGAACUCGAAAAUAUCAAAACCAUAUGAAUAGAUCUAUCUUGAAAAAUACUUUCAUAAAAACAUGCAUAUACCACUUUUUAAUAAAUAUUUUUAUUUCUUUCUAAUAUAUAAUUAUGAAUUUUUCAUCGUGGCGAACUCCCCAAGGACGGAGUGUCAAAGAGCAUUCUCAAGAGCCUAAGUAAAAUUAUAUUCUAAACUAUAAAAUUUAAUUAUUUUAUAAAAUAAAAAACUUAUUUAAAAGGAUAGGCAGUGAGGACGGCGUGCUAUCUAUGGUAGGCGUGCUAUCUAUGGUAAGCGAAAGUUUAGGAAUAGCAAACUUGCUAUUUUAGCAAAGUAGAUAACACACCUUUUAGACUUUAGUUUUUUCCUUCAAAAAUCCAAAAUAAUAUACCCCCUUUGUCCCUGCAAGCUUCAACUCCUAGAAUUUGUGUCAGUCAAACUUUUUUAAGUUUGACCAACUUUAUAGAAAAAAGCAUCAAUAACUAUGACAUAAAAUGAGUAUCUUAAGAAAAUAUAUUUCAUGAUAAAUCUAAUGGUAUUAAUUUGGUACUAUAAAUCUUAAUGUUUUUUUAAAAAUCGGUUAAAGUUUUAAAAAUUUGACUUAGGAUAACUCCAGAUGUUGAAGCUUUUAAGAAUAGAGGGAGUAGAUAAGAUGAAUACUAUAUUUGUUGAAGUUGCUCUAAUAGCAGAGGACAUCUAUGUUUUGUGCACCAGGCACAUGCUGGGAGUGCUGGUCUUUUUUUUCAACAAAAGCUCCAUUAUUCAAAGUACUCCCUUGGUCCCUAAAAAAUACAAUUCUUUGUUUUGGAAGAUGUUAAACCAUUUAAACUUUGACAAAUUUUUUAUAUAAAAAAUAUUAACAAUAUAAAAUAAAUAUUAUUAGAUUAGUUAUAGACUAUAUUUUUUAUAAUAAUUUUAUUUAAAAAUAUAAGUAUUAAUAUUAAUUACUAUAAAUUUAGUUAAAUUUAAGCUAAAUUGAUCAACACACUUUUUAUAAUUACAUUUUUUUGGGAUGGAGGAAGCACAAUCAGAUUAUAGACAUUUAUGUAAGAAGCUAGGAACCCAUUUGAAAUCAACAAAGACUUUUAACUAUAGGCACGAGCAUCAGGCUAUAAAUUAUGUACUCCGUUGCAGUGCACGGCGUUGCAAUGUAUCGACAGAGUUAUUAUUGGCACAAGUACUGAAUAAUAAAUUUUAUGUCCCGAUGCAAUACACGGGUAUGUUUUUCUAGUAAAAAUAAGAAGACAAAUUACCAUGUCACUGUUCUAGACGUCUUGCUUUAUAGGCAUGGAGGGCGUAUCGUUUUGAAGCUGGGUGAGCUUCUGGUGGGCCGAAACGUUGGGCUUCGUUUGACGGAUCAGGCCGUCAAGGAGCAUGGGCCCAGCCUCGCCGCUCGGCCUUGAGAUGAUUUUUUUUAUUUGUUGUUGCAUUUCUAAGCGUUGCAGACUUCUUUCCUGGUAGGAAACGGCACCUAAAGUUUACGCUGUUUGUGCAGCGCCUCCUUUUUUUUAAAAAAAACUGAUAAAAAGAACUCUCCAGGAAAAUAGAUUGUAGAGAGCACUACUUCCACGAUCAGAUUAGCGGUUGGGUUUGCCUCGCAGAAGUUAUAAUAUAUAAUUAGUAUUAUUAGAUAGAUUGUUAAAUUUAUUUUUCGUAAUAAACUUAUUUAAAGAUACAAAUGUUGCUACUAUAACGAUAGGUAGGAGAGAGCAUGUAAUUUUGGUCACAUUAUUGUAUAGAAACUCAUAAGCCAUAAGGUACUUACAUCUAGUUACUUUUACUAAUUAAUUAAUAUGGAUAUAUAAAUAUAUAUCCUUUAAUAUUUAAUAAUUGGCACCCACACGGCCAGUGUCAUCGCAUAAUACAGUCCUCUGUCAACAGCUCGGAUUCGCUGUCGGCGGCCGAGUGUCCCCGUCACUUGCCAUUAGCCAUGCACGCACAGCGCUCCGAUCCGAUUAGCCAGCAGUAGGCCAGUAGCAGCCACCUCCUCCAGCUUCAUCAUUGCUUCGUUCCUAAUUCAGCUCGGAAAGAAGAACACACAACCAUGAUAGAUAUGAUUUAGGUGGGAUUCUAGGCCAUCCCACAUUCAUGCUAAUAUAUAUAUAAACAUGAACUGUCACGCACCAACACAUCUCGCAACUACAUUUGAUUACUACUAGUAGUAUAUAUCUAAUGUUUUAUUAUAUAUAUCCAUCUUUUUUAAUUAUUAUUACUAUAAAAUAUAAUACUGAAAGGAUGAGAGGUUUAGGCAACUACUAGGCUUUAGAUUAUGACUAACUGAUGUUUCAGCCGGCCUUCGAGUUCCAAUGAUCUAUCUUCCUUUCCGGUUCCGGGGUACAGCUAGCUUGUUCAGGUGUGUACGGUGUAUAUGCUGCUGAUCGAGUUGAGCUUGUUCAGCUGUUGUUGAUAUCCAGCUGGCGUGGUGGAGAAAUAAUUAUACUAUGAAUAUAUAUACUAGUAACUAAUAACAAAGCAUCUUCUUGGUUUAUUUAAUUUAUUAAUCAUAUUAUACAUACAAGUUGAGCUGGGCUAGCUAGGCAGCAAUAUAUAUAAUCUACUAGCUAAUAAUGUAAUCGGCUUUUAGAGAAUGUAACAACAGCUAAUCUGCUAAUAAUGAGGGAUGCCUUACUUUUUCUUGUUUUGUUUCAGGUAGGGGAGAAAAGGCGGGCGAGGUGCAGUACCGUAGCAGCCGUAAAAAGGUGGCGAUAUAUCGAUGGAUCAGUGUCACAACAGGUGUGGUGGUACCACACCCUGCCGUGCGUGCAUGGUUUAUCUUUAUCCUAAGUAAAUGGGUAUUAUGAUCGAUUGAUGAUUCUCACAAGAAAAGGCAACCCGGGCCGGCCGGGCCCUCACCGCACCACACGUAUACCAGCUUAAAUUAAUUAUUCCAUCUCCACGGAUUAGCUAGUGUACGUACGUGUAGUUGCGCAUGACUUUGCUCUUGAGAAUCCGGAGUACCCCAGAUUCUCUGGCAGGUACAUGAACUGGUUGACAGCCGAAAGCUCGUGCAUGCUUGGAAUCUCUCAGUUUUCUCAGCUGUACGUGUAUCACUACAGCAUGGCAAUUUAUAAUGACGAUUAUUUCGCCGUGCACCGCAAUUUGGUCCUGCUCUUCCUGCGCGCUGCAUGGAGGAAAGAUAUAUAGGUAUAUCAGUUGAACGAAGCCUGACACUGUAGGCAGCUCAAUCGUUGGAUGCGUGGUCUAUAAAGAAGCUAUAGGAGCUGUGAGCUGUUGAUGAGGACGAUGGAUGGAUGCCAAUGGCAUAGCAAGGCAGCAACCUGGAACACCGAGGUGGCGGCUGUCCUGUCCUUUAUUUAUUUGGCCCCCAUGCAAGGUUGGCAGCGGUUGAGAGUCCAGUCUCGCCAUGGCCGCGCGCGCGCAUGACGUGCAUCCAACACCAAACAAGUCGAUCAUCAGAUCGAGAACAUUUCGUACGAUCGACGACCGGCGGACUUGAUUAAUUUUGGCGAUUUUAUGCAUACACCAAUGCAAAUUCGUGUGAAAAACGAAGCGGAUUUUAAAUACGCUACGUUGAACAUUUAAUUUCAUAGAUACUAGAACAUUAUGCAUGCAUUUCAUAAUCAUAACGGGGAGCGAGGCGUAAUGACCCUGCAGCUAGCUAAAAGUCACCACAACGUACUGUUGCUCGUCUGCUCCCUAGCUAGCAGACCUACCACAGAGCGCACCUUGAAUGGAUCCAACCAUCUCUAUGCUAUGCAGAUGCAAACCGGCCGGCCCCACCAUCUAUCGCUCUCACAUCGAUCGAUCGCCUGCCUGGAACAGCCCAUCAAUCCAUUCAUAUAUAGCACUACUUCCCUUGUUUAUUAAGCUAGCCACACCUUGCUAGCUAGGAGUAUCUAGUUAGUUAAACAAACACUACUGCUGCAUGCUUAGUUGGUAAUAAUAUAAUAAGAGAUAUACUCCCUCCGUCCCAAAUUAUAAGUCAUUCCAAGAAUCUUGGAGAGUCAAAGUUUUUCAAGUUUAACUAAAUUUAUAUAGCAAAAUAAUAACAUUUUUGGUACCAACUAAGUAUCAUUAGAUUCUUUGUUAGUUAUAUUUUCAUAGUGUAACUAUUUUAUGACAUAAAUCUUUACAUUUCUCUCUAUAUUUUUUGUCAAACUUGAAAAUGUUUUGACUCUCCAAGAUUCUUCGAAUGACUUAUAAUUUGGAAAGGAGGGAGUAUAUGCUUUGUUGUUCUUGCUUAGAAAACCAACUAUACUUUGUUGCUCUCCCUACAUAUACGAUAUAUACCCUGAGCUGGCUUGAAAGCCACCUUUAUUUGCUUGACUUCCUCUAUAUAUCGGCCAGACGACCACCUAGCAGCAGCUAACUGUUUGAGCCCGGCCUCCCCCUCCUCUCGCUCGUGCCAGAGCCAGACUGCCCAGCCACCACACCAUUCUUUCCCCAUUAGCUCUCUAAGCUAAGCUAGCGUCGUCGUGUCUUAGUAGCUUGCAGGCUCACCUGCUGCUGAUUGAGAGGAGACGACUGAAUUCAGCACCAGCUAGCCAGCUAGCUAGCAGAAGAUAGAUGGCGGCGGAGGAGGCCAAGAAGGUGGAGGUUGAGGCCACCAAGGACAUCGCCGAGGAGAAGGCCGUCGUGCCGCUGCCGCCGCCGCCCGCCAAGCUGGCCGACGACGACGACUCCAAGGCCAUCGUCGCUGUUGUCAAGGGUACGUGUAACUAGUUACAGUACCAUCCUUGUUCGUUACUUCUCGUUCAUCCUGACAACACGAUUCCUGUUAUGUCUACUACUUUGCACUAGCUAGCUAGUUGAAUUUCUUUUUGUACAAAAAAGAAAAGAUAGGAGCUUUAGUUGGAAAUCUCCACAAACCAAACUUUACAAAGAUCAUGCGGGGAUCAAUUUUUCUUCUAGCCAUCUAGGUAGGAGUAGUACUUAGGUACUAGAGAGGGUCUGGGAAUUUCAGAAAAGCAGAUCGAUUAAUUUCGGGACAAUAAGUUCCCUUUAUUUCCACUGUACUGCUUUCUUUGAGAAUUGAAGUAAAAAUGAGACAAACCAAAUAAGAAGUUAACAAACUGUUGCUGUAUGCUACUAAUAAGUUUUAAUUUCCCUGGCAACAUGGAUUAGUUUUCUUCACGAACUGCAAAACAAGAUAAUUAAAAAAUGUGAUGCCUAGAGCUAGAGGAUCGGAGAUAGAAGAAGAAACAGCAACCGAACACUGAAGCACUGACAACUGAUCGAGUACUGACAACCAAACCUUUUAUGUUCUGAAAAAUCUGAUAUGCAUGUCUACUCUUUUUGCCAGACGCUGCUGAGAAACCUGCAACUAUUGGAGGUUCAACUGAAAGAGGUAACAAAAGAAAUUCUCAGUUCAUUUAGGGAAAAAAAACAAGAAUUCUAGCUGGUUCAAUUCAAACUCAUUACACUCAUCUGGCGCUCCAUUCAUUCUUUUUGUUCAGAUGCUUAUCUCGCGAAGAUUGUAUCGGAGAAGAGACUGACUCUGAUCACCGCCUGGGAGGAGAGAGCCGAGAACAGGUAAAAAGGUCUCUCUGACCUAUAUUAAUUUAAUUGGGAGUUUCUUAAAAGUAAGUAUCGAGGUGCCUAUAUAUGUUUAAUUAACUGACAGUUGCUUAAAUAAAUAAAAGCAAUAAAAAUGGAUCAAAUCACCAGUGACAGUGAUGCGUGCUACUCGCACAUCACUCCGGUUCGUUUUGAUGGGUGAGAGAUACCAUCACACACUAACUAAUACCUUACGAUGCACUCAAAGCACGAUGAAAGGAAAGUGCACCUUUCGAUCGUCUCCCCCGCAUGCACUGCAGGGGGAUCGAUGCAAUGCAAUGCAACUGACCUCUCAACCACACCAACAGCAUCAGCUCGUACUUUGUGUCUGCAGCUAAUAACUCACUUGCUGCUUUUGCCUGCAAUGGGUGCAAUGCGAUGGUCCAUGACAACAGGGCCGCCAAGAAGCUCGCCUUCAUCACGUCAUGGGAGAACGCGAAGAAAGCGGAGAUGGAGGCCGAGCUGAAAAAGAUCGAGGUGAGCUGAAAUUAAAAGAGAGAGAGGUGGACGAUGACAAGUCACCUAAUAUUUGUUGCAGCAGUACAGUGGGAAGCAGAGAGUUGUUAGUUAGUAACUGACGAUGAUGACGUGCAUGGCAAAUUGGCAGGAGCAACUGGAGAAGAAGAAGGCGGCGUACGAGGAGAAGCUGAAGAACAAGCUGGCGAUGCUGCACAAGACGGCGGAGGAGAGGCGGGCGCAGACGGAGGCGAAGCGCGGGGAGGAGAUCAUCCUGGCGGAGGAGAUGGCCGCCAAGUACCGCGCCAAGGGCGAGGCACCCACCAAGCUCUUCGGCCUCUUGAAAGCCUGAUGAAGAAAUGACCAUGUGAUUGAUACGAAUGCUGGGAUGGGAACAACUGUUGGUUCGUGGUGGUGUGUGCAUGCAUGUGUAUGUAUCUGAAGACUGAAAUCCCCUUGGAGUGUGUGUGUUGUUGUUUCUGUUGUAUUAUAUUGGAAGGCUUUGCUUGACAUCUGGUGGUGCAGUCUGUAAAGGAAUUGUGUAUAGUUAAGCAUAGGAGGAGUGCAGUGGAGAUGGAUACCUUUUAUUUGUUCUUUCUUCUCAAUUCUCAUAAUGAAAGUUUUGUCAGUUUGAGAAAUUGGUUAUGCGUUUGGCAACAGGCAGAUGUACUAGUCUUCUAUUGCAUUUUCUUUGUUGGAUGGAAAGAUACCACCGGAAUGCCAAUGCCCUCUCUGAAGACUUGAUGCACUAAUUCCGGGAAUUAAUUAGGAACCUAUAUUUUCAUCAGCCGUCCUGUUUCUUGGUCCUAGUUUUCAACUGCACCACGGAAACAUUCAGAGAAGAACUUUUUAUUUUCUUUUGAAACGGUCGCCAGCAGAUAUACCGAACUUGCAUUGGUAUAAAGAGGGAUUAAAAGGCACUGUACAAAGGAGGACUCGAGUAAAAAGGGAAAACCACAACAAAAAGCAUUUAGAGAAGAACUUUCUUCUGAAACAUAAGUAGGCGUGCUCACUGAGCAUCUAUCACCAGCUAGCCUGCUGAGAAACAGUGAGAAAACACUGAUGGCGGACCAAAUCAACAAUUCUUUCAGGCCUAAUCUGAAAGCAAAACCAGGGAUGGAAGCCCAUAGAUUGCUCAUCCUAGGAAAAAUUCGGGAUUCCAAAACAAUUUGGGGUUCCAAAUACUAAACCUCAAAGUGGAUAGAAAAUUUAUUACUCUUGGCAGCAUAAUUUGAUUCAUUCCAUCAUCUGCAGACUGCAGUUGAUCGUUUCAAAAAAAAGCAUCUGCAGUUGAGCACUGCCAUGAAGCCAAGAUGCUUCAGUGUGCAGCCUGAACUUGCUGCACUUGCAUCUGUAGCUCUGAACGCGCUGCAGCUCAACAGCUGCAAUAAAAUACGCUUCUGCCACGGGAAGGCGUACUUCUUGUCCGUCGACGUAUUACCCACCUACCGGAUCACACAUGCCGCCGCCCGCCACCCAAUCCGGUUAGAAAAACAAACAGGUCCACCAGUCAGCGAGACAGUUGCCGUCUGCCCCAGUUGGAAUCUCUCUCUCUGUAUGCGCCAUUGCGGCGCCCGUGGGGCCCACCACGGCGCCGCCGGCAGCGCCACCAACCCCCUCCUCCACCUCCACCUUCCCACCGGCACUCCCCACGCCUGCUCCACGACGCUUAUGCGCUCGCACCCCCCUCUCGCCGCCCACCUCCGGCGCCUGCUCCACCUCUCGCCCUCCGCCCACCUCAUCAUCCGCCGCGCCAUGGCCUCCACCGCCGCCGCCGCGCAGGCGCAGCCAGGUGAGGAACCGAGCCUGCUUGCUUGCUUGCUUACAACACCCACGCCCAGUGCCUGCGGGCUAUGGCUGACGUUUGGUGAGGUGAUGACUGACGGCGGCGGUGUGUGCGUGUGAUUGGUUGGGCUUUCUGCUCAGGUGGCGUGCCGCCGGCGACCGCGGAGUACGAGGAGGUGCUGGGGCGGCUCUCCUCGCUCAUCACGCAGAAGGUGCGCGCGCACAGCGGCAACCGCGGCAACCAGUGGGACCUCAUGGCGCACUACGUCAAGGUCCGUGGCUCCGUGCAUUGAGAAUUUAAGAUCUCCUCCUACUGCCAGAGCUCUCCUGAAUCGUAAUUGGAUGAUUUUUUUUUUAUUGUUCGAUCUGGUUGGUAUGAAUGGCGGGUAGAUUCUGGAGCUGGAGGAGCCGAUCGCGCGGAUGAAAGUAAUUCACGUUGCGGGGACCAAGGGGAAGGUAAACUAACUAGUUGUAGUGGCAUCCUCGAGUCAAUCCUGCUGUGUCACUUUUAGUUUGAUUAGAAAGUUCAAAUUUAAUAUUUGUAUUGUAGAACAACAGCUAGGCAAUCACGGCUACUCCUAGGUUGGAAUGCAAAUGUAAAUAAUGUGAAUCAUUAAGCUUUACAAAAGUGGCAGUUUAAUGCUAUACCUGUUUGGUACCAGGACGUGAUACAACCAUUUCCAUAUCUGUAUCGACUAGUAUUGAACUGCGACUUUUAAGAGGGAUGAGAAAUGCUGAAUUCUUUUAGGGCCCUGAUAUGGCGUCAAUUGAACAAGGCGUUGAUUGUAUCUACAGGGUUCCACAUGCACAUUCACCGAGUCAAUCCUGCGAUCGUGUGGCUUCCAUACUGGGUUGUUCACCUCACCACAUUUGAUGGAUGUUAGGGAGCGAUUUCGCCUGGAUGGGUAAUUCUUUUUCCUACUGUUCUUUUAUCAUCUCUGGUUGUGGUGUUGACAAUAGUAGAUCCUAUGAACUUCCGAAUGAUUUUUUGUAUGCAAAUGUCUGGUGUGCUGUGUCAUCUUUAUUAUGUUGUCCCUGUAAUUAGGUGUUAUGAAUUUAUGAUUGCACUGACCUAGCUCCUACUUUCUGAGGGCAUCAGGGUUAAUAUUUCUGAAGAGAAAUUUUUGAAGUACUUUUGGUGGUGCUGGAACAAGUUGAAGGUAAGUGUCUUGAUUACUUGUUUCAUAUAAAGUCGCUCUGUGCUGGAUGCCUAGUGCCUAGAAGUGACAAAGCAGAAACUACUUAAUUGAUUCCCUCAGGAACUUUUUUUUGCAUUUGUUCUGUAACCUGUCUGUUAUCAUCAUAUUGCUUUUAUUCUAUAUAAACUGGUGUAUGAUGAGGUAAAUGGGCUUACUUCCAGGAGAAGACUGAUGAUGAUAUUCCCAUGCCAGCCUAUUUCAGGUUCCUCGCAUUGCUCGCGUUCAAGAUAUUUUCUGCUGAGCAGGUAAAGCAAAUGCAAGCAUUUCCUACUCUUUCGGCCUUCUUUGCAAGAUAUUCAAGAUGCUAAAUUCAUUUUAUUUGCAAUGCAUUGUGUCAAUAUGUGAUUUUAGGGUAGACACAUUCACACAUCUAUCACAUAUAUGCUCUUCUGACACUAGGAAUUUACUGAUUCUUUAUACCUUUUGAGCUUCGCUGGCUCUGCCAAUCAUUUCCCCUGUCUUUUUCUGACUCUAACAGGUAGACGUUGCUGUUCUUGAGGUUGGCCUAGGAGGGAAGUUUGAUGCAACUAAUGUGGUAUGUGAUGUUCUAUUGCAGUAAUGUAUAACCAACGGUUGUGUAUAAAACUCAUCUUGAGUAGUGAAAAACCAGAGUAGACUUGAACUGUGCCAUUUUAGCCCUGAAAAAUAUUGCAUGCUUAUUUUUGUGAGCAUUCUUGUAUUAUAUAUGCAAAAGGAUGGACUAGGUCAACUUGUAUGCUUGCUUCUUGUCUAAGAUUCAGUGUCAACUUGACUUUCAAAACGAUUUUGUGUUUAAAUUUACCUUGAGUUUCUUCUGGGCUUUCUGACAGCUUUUAUAUUACCACUGUUAUCUUGAACUAUCAAAAAUCAAAGAUCUUGACUGGUCUCUAAAUUUGGGUGUCUGCAGGUUAAAGAACCUGUAGUUUGUGGAAUAUCUUCCCUUGGAUAUGAUCAUAUGGAAAUUCUUGGUUAGUCAUGUAACUAGUUGUUGAAGUACCUCCAUCAUUAGGUUCAUGCUUUCAGUCUCAUCUUUACUUUGUUGCCUGUGAGCAGGGAAUACGCUUGGAGAAAUCGCAGGGGAGAAAGCUGGGAUUUUCAAGGUUUUGUUUAGUUGCUUUCCUAUAAAGCUAUUCAAAUUAUAUAGCCAAUUUUCUUACUUUUCUGGUUCUCUUGUGUCAGAAAGGAGUUCCGGCCUAUACUGCUCCACAACCAGAAGAGGCAAUGGCGGCUCUCAAACAAAGAGCUUCGGAGUUGGGUGUAUGUCCUAUCAUCGAUUCCAUUCUUCUUUUUCUUUUUUUUUGGUUGCCUCUAUUCUAGCCAUGACACUUAAUGCGUUCUGAAGAUCUCUCUCCAAGUCGCUGAUCCUCUGGAGCCCCAUCACUUAAAAGAUCAACAUCUUGGACUCCAUGGCGAACAUCAAUAUAUAAAUGCUGGCCUUGCAGUUGCUUUGGCUAGUACGUGGCUUGAGAAGCAGGGACAUAAGGACAGGAUACCACUCAAUCGUACUGUAAGUCUUCUCAAUCAUGUUGCUUUGCCAAAAAGAAAGAUGGGUAUGACAAUUUGUCCUGCUAUUAUGGAAUUCAGGAUCCCUUGCCAGAUCAUUUUAUUAGAGGACUAUCAAGCGCUACUUUGCAAGGCCGAGCACAGAUUGUUCCAGAUUCACAAGUGAAUUCAGAAGAGAAGGACAAAGAUUGUUCGCUUGUUUUCUAUUUGGAUGGAGCGCACAGUCCUGAAAGUAUGGAAAUUUGUGCCAAGUGGUUUUCUCAUGCCACAAAGGAUGAUGGAAGACUACCAUCUUCCGUGGAGCAGUCUCAGACAUCUAGGUCUCAAAAGGUAUGUCUCACGGCAUAUCUACUUUUUUUCAUGCUUCAAUUGACCUGCUUUUGUGUGCAUUACAUCUUAGAGUAGGUUCCUCCCUUAUAUGAAAAUAUUCUUUUGAAACCAAUUUCGCAGAUCCUUCUGUUCAAUUGCAUGUCUGUGAGAGAUCCAAUGAGACUGCUUCCUCAUCUCCUGGAUGCAUCAACUCAAAAUGGUACCUUAAAAAUUUCCAUCCUCUCCUGAAAAUAUUCCUUGCAAUCAUUCAUCAUUAAUUCAUGUAUUGUUUAAUUUUUCAUCUCCAUUUGUUUAAUGGGAACCAAAUACAUUUACUGCCCACUUGAGUCCUGUGCGAAGUUACUGGUUUAUUUACUGUUGAGUUCACUUUCAAGUGCGAAUUUUUCCAGUUCUAGGUUAAAUGGGUGCACUCGGUUUUGUUUAAUUUUGUCAGGAGUGCACUUUGACAUGGCCCUAUUUGUGCCGAACCAAUCACAAUACAACAAGCUUGGUUCUAAUACUUCAGCUCCUGCGGAGCCUGAGCAAAUCGAUUUAUCAUGGCAGUUGUCACUCCAAACAGUGUGGGAGAAGUUACUUCAGGAUAAAGGUUCUUGUGAAAUCUGAACUUGAUUUCUUUAGCCAUUUAUGCCGCAUUUCUUAGUACCUUGUAUGUUUUCCUCCUUGAAACAAGCAUUACCUGGUUCGAAUAUAAUAUAACACUUGCAAGUAAAUGGUGCAGGUAUAAAUACUACAAAAUCUAGUGAUACUAGUCAAGUUUUUGAAUCGCUUCCACUCGCAAUCGACUGGCUAAGGAGAAAUGCCCAAGAAAACCAAUCCACUUCUUUCCAGGUAAAAUCUUUCAUGAGAACAUAACCUUUCCCUUGUAGAAAUUGUUAAGAGUGAAUGUAAAUGAACAGUGAACAACUUAUGUCUUUCAUUGAUCUCAUAGAAUAUAUACAAGUGAAGGGGGCAUGUCCGUACGGACACAACCGUUCAGUUUACAGAACCACCGAAGGGACAUGCCUCUUCAGGGAUUACUAACUGCUAAUCCUAUGAUUAACUGCUAAUCCACUUCUCUAAUCUUGUUGUAUCAACGGAUGAGAUCAUUAGUGAUAAGGUGUCUAUUCACCAACAGACACCGUUUCGCAACACUCCCCCUUGAUCGAAUCUUCCUUUGAGAUCAAUGUAGCUGUAAGCUUAGAUUCCUCGAAAAACCAUGUGGGAAAAAUCUGAGGAAUAUGUAUGUAUGGAUAUGCUGUAAAACUCCUUUAAACCUUUAUAGGAAAACAAGGAGAAGGUAGCAUAUAUUUGUGUGAUUUAAACAAACCACUAUGUCAUUAGUAUUCCAAUUAAAAACCCCAGUGGGGAAAAAUAUUGGAGAUACGACAUAAAGAUAACUCCUCUAAAAACCGUUUAGGAAAAAAGUGAGGAGCCAUAUUAAGAGAUAUGUCGCUAAAACUCCUAUAAAAACCCAGUGGGAAAAUCAGGAGAAAAAUAUGACGACAUACUAUAAGUAUUGCCUCUUGAAAUAACUCUCAUGAAAAACCUUUUUCAAGGAAAAACCAUGGAUGAGUUGGGAGGGCAAUAUGUGUCUUUGAUAUUUCCCACAAAAACCCCGGUGGGGAAAAUAGAAAAUAUGACACAUGCUUAUGUUAAUAUUACCUCAUUAAAAACUUUAACAAGAAACCUUUUGAGUAAAACUUGUGAAAGAAAAGAGUAUAAUAUGAUGCUGGUACAGGUGGCAUCUAGGAGAUGUCUCCUCCUGAUUCUGGCAAAUCUCGAAGUCGCCUCAUACCAAUUCCAUGUACCAAUUUUUGAAACACAGAAGUUGGUAAGGACUUAGUAAAUAGGUCAGCGAGAUUAUCACAUGACUUGAUUUGCAAGAUGUUUAUUUCCCCACUUUCUUGUAAUUCAUGGGGAUAAAACAAUUUAGGAACAAUAUGCUUAGUGAUAUUGCUCUUUAUGUAACCUGUUUGCAUCUGUGUAACACAAGCGGAAUUAUCUUCAUAGAUAAUUGUUGGUGAUUCAAUUGAACCAAUACCACAUGUCUGUUGUAUGUGGUUAAUCAUUCUGCGAAGCCACACACAUUCUCGUGAUGCCUCGUAUAAAGCAAUAAUUUCAGAAUGAUUAGUAGAGGUGGCUGUUAGAGUCUGCUUAGAAGACUUCCAUGAAAUAGCUGUACCUCCAUGUAGGAAUACAAAUCCUGUUUGGGAUUUUCCGUUAUGAGGAUCAGAUAAGUAACCAGCAUCUGUAUAGCCAAUCAUACUGGAAUCAUGAUUUUUCUUGAAGAAUAAACCAAGAUCCUUUGUGCCAUUAAGGUAUCUGAGGAUACACUUUGCUCCCGUCCAAUGACGGUGAGUCGGGUCCGCACUAUGCCUAGCUAGUAAGUUCACUGCAAAUGCGAUAUCAGGCCUGGUGCAAUUUGCAAGAUACAUAAGUGCGCCAAUAACACUGAGAUAUGGGAUUUCUGGUCCCAACGUCUUCUCCCCAACAUCCCGUGGUCUAAAUGGAUCUUUCCCUAAUUCUAAGGAACGAACAACCAUCGGGGUUUUAUUAGGGUAUGAUUUAUCCAUAUUGAAUUUCUCCAAUAUUUUCUGGAUAUAGGCUGAUUGAUGCACUAAAAUCCCUAAAGGACGGUGCUCAAUUUGUAAGCCUAGGCAAUAUUUGGUCUUUCCCAAAUCCUUCAUCUCGAAUUCCGUCUUUAGAUGUUUGCGUGCUUCUUCUAUAUCCUUUGGACUGCCAAUGAUAUUUAAAUCAUCAACAUAUACAGAUAUAAUACAAAAUCCCGUUUGAGAUUUCUUAAUGAAAACACAUGGGCAAUCAUCAUUAUUGGUGUAUCCUUUGUUUAAAAGGAAUUCACUCAGUCGGUUGUACCACAUUCGUCCCGACUGCUUCAAGCCAUAUAAUGACUUUUGUAGUUUUACACAAUACAUGUUACGAUUUGCGUUUGGAUUCGGAAUUUGGAUUCCAUCGGGAACCUUCAUAUAUAUGUCCGAAUCAAGUGACCCAUAUAAAUAUGCUGUCACCACAUCCAUCAACUGCAUAGAUAGAUGAUUUUGAACUGCCAAUGAUAUUAAGUAUCGGAAAGUAAUUCCACUCAUUACUGGAGAAUAAGUUUCAUUAUAAUCAAUGCCGGGUCUCUGCGUGAACCCUUGUGCUACUAGCCUUGCUUUAUAUCUCACCACCUCAUUGUUCUCAUUCCGUUUCCGGACGAAAACCCAUUUAAAGCCUACAGGAAAGACUUUGGAGGGUGUGGGUAUAGCUUUUGUGAAUACCCCUCUUUUAGUGAGCGAGGCUAUCUCAGCUUUAAUUGCUUCUUUCCAUUGAGCCCAGUCUGAGCGCUUUUUGCACUCUGCCAUGGUCUUAGGAUCUGGAUCAUUGAGAAAGAUUUCUGCAAUUGCUGCGGAGAAAUAUGUGUCUAUUCGUAUGAUUCUCCAGAAUCAAUAUAAUUGAUGGAAAUUUCUUUUACCCCAUUAUUUGACUCAACAUUUCCCAAAACUAUGGAGUCAGGGUGUUCCGAUGUCCCAGGAUCAGAAUUUGGAUGCACCGUUGAUCCGGGUUGUGGAUUUGGUCCUGGUGUUGGAUUUUUAUCCACUAUUGGGUGUCUACCAACUUGAGGUUGGCUUGGAUUUACUGAUUUGGAGGAUUUACCUCUCGAUUUCCUUGGACGCUUACUUGGAGCAUUAUCCUUAGGAGCGGCCGUACUUCUCCCCCUCUUCUUUGGAAGUGGGAGUUGAAUGGUUUUUAUUGGUACCUCCACUCUUUCGGGCGCAUUGCGAGCAGGAUAAGAGGAUUUAGUGACACCCUUAUAAUCAGUAAAUGCUUCUGGCAGGUUAUUUGCAAUAUGUUGCAAGUUUAUGAUUUUCUGAACUUGUUGUUCAGUUUCUUGAGUACGUGGAUCUGAGGGGGAAUUGCCUUGGGCAUUCCAGUUGAUUUCCUGGCAUUCACUUUGGUACUUGAAAUCUCCCCCUAAUGCUGGGAAAUGGUCCUCAUUGAAUAUGCAGUCAGCAUACCGGGCCGUGAAUAAGUCCUCUGUAAGAGGCUCGAGGUAUUUGAUAAUCGAUGGGGAUUGAUAUCCCACAUAGAUACCAAGUUUCCUAUGUGGACCCAUAGAGGUACGCUUAGGUAGUGAGAUCGGUACGUAUACAGCGCAACCGAAUUUUCGCAGAUGGGAAAUAUUUGGCAUAUUCCCACGUACUAAUUGCAAUGGGGAGACAACAUGGUAUGCAGUUGGACGCAAUUGAAUUAAGUCAGCAGCGUGUAAGACUGCAUGACCCCAACAUGAAGUUGGUAGAUUGCAAUUUUGUAUUAGUGGUCUUGCAAUGAGUUUAAUUCUUUUAAUAAGAGAUUCUGCUAAACCAUUUUGUGUAUGGACAUAUGGGACAGAGUGCUGAACUUGAAUUCCUAAAGCCAUACAAUAAUCAUUGAAAGCCUUUGAGGAAAAUUCAGCAGCAUUGUCCAUUCGAAUUGAUUGAAUUUGAUGUUCAGGAUUAUGUGCUCUAAGUUUAAUAAGUUGAGCAAUAAUUUUUGCGAAAGCAUGGUUACGUGUGGAUAAAAGACACACAUGAGACCAUCUAGUAGAUGCGUCUAUUAGAACCAUAAAAUACCUGAACGGUCCAGAUGUUGGUUGUAUAGGGCCACAAAUAUCUCCUUGAAUGCGUUCAAGAAAUUUUAGUGGCUCAUUUUGGAUCUUGACGGGCGAUGGACGCAAGAUCAAUUUACCUGUAGCGCAUGAAGUGCACAUAAAAUCUGAAGAUUUCGGAAAUUUAGCAGUAUUUAACUCAUGACCAUUUGAAUUGCUGAUAAUUUUCCGCAUCAUCCCUAUACCAGGAUGACCAAGGCGAUCAUGCCAAGUUUUGAAUGCAUCAACAUUCUGGAAAAUUACCUUGUACGCAACAUGUGGUACGGGUUUGAUGUAUGUGUAGUACAAUCCGGACGGAAAAGAGGGAAUUUUCUCAACAAUUUGUUUGCCAUAUCCAUUGUUUUUAGUAACAAGGAGAAUUUCCUCAUUAUUGUCAUCAAGGGUUUCUAUAUGGAAACCAUUUUGACGGAUAUCUCUAUAACUUAAUAAGGUACGCUUUGAAUCGGGAUACAAUAAUGCAUCCUCAAUUGUAAUUUGGGUACCCAUAGGGAGUAUGAUAAUGGCACGACCUGAACCAAUUAUCGUAGCAUCGCGCCCAGCGAUUGUCAAAACAUUUCCUUGUCUUUUAGUAAGAGUUUGGAAAUAUUUUGUUUCCCUAAGAAUAGAAUUAGUGGUACCGCUGUCCACUAGGCAUAAUUCCUCUUCCAUCAGAUCGACCCCCGUAGAAACUAUAUAUAAAUAAAGAAUUUGAUAUAAAACUCUCUGAUAAUAUAUAGAAUACAUACUUUAUUUAUUGAAUAUCAAAUGUGUACAAUACAUUUAUUGGAUAUCCAAACUAAGUAGUGAUGACAUCAUUAAAUAUUUACAACACAUAGGACAUAAAUUGUGUUUAUUAUUACAAUCACUAGAACAUAAAGACAUUAGAAUCUAAGGGAUUGGGAGCCUAGUGAAAGUCUCCAAAUAUGUCGUUGGAUGCAUAUUCCACGAUCAUAUUCCCUGUAUCAGCAAGAUCCUCGCCUCCUCGUAUGAUGUUGUUGCUUGGUUCCUCAGGAACUUGUUGCGAACAACCAGCCUCUUCCCUGGUGGUGUCAGGUCGAAGAUUGAAAUGGGCUUCAUACUUCUGUCCUGGUGUAGCUCGUCCACGACCCACAGACUUUAAGUAAAGAUCAACUAGAUGACUUGGGGUACGACAUUUCUUUGUAGUAUGGUUAUAACAACCACAUUUUUGACACACAGGUUUAUCAUCCCUGUUCUUGGAAAUGUUCUUACCCUUUUUGUAAGGUUUACCUUUGUUGGAGUCACCUUUUUGGGGCUUCUUAUUGCGUCUGCGCUUGUUUUUACCCUUCUUGGAGUUUCCUUGUUGAUAGUUCUUUUCAGAUCUAUCAUUAGACAUGGGUUUAUUCUGAGUAUAUGCAUGUACUUCAGGCAAUGGAGCAGACCCAACAGGGCGUUGCUGAUUAUUCCAAACCAUAAGUUCAGAAUGUUUUUCGGCCUCAAGUAAAGUUUGGAUAAGCUCUGAAUAAACUUGGAAACGUCUUUCACGGUAUUGUUGUUGAAGAAUCCUUUCAGAGGGAAGCAUAGUAGACAAAGUCUUUUCUAUCUUAUCCGCAUCUGUAGGUUCUUUCUCGCAGAAUUGCAAUUUUGAGCAAAUCCUAUGGACAGCAUGAUUGUAGUCACUCACAGUUUUGAAAUCCUGUAAGCGAAGUUGCGUCCACUCAUAGUUGGCCGCGGGCAAGACAAGUGCCUUUUGCUGUUCAUAGCGUUGCUUAAGUGAAGUCCAUAGAUUGUGUGGAUUUUCUUCCAACAAAUAUUCAGCCUUAAGAUCAGGGUGAAUGUGGCUCCUAAUAAGGUAUAGGGCUGUAUAAACGUGUUGAUCUUCAAGCGGUGCAACCCCAUCUUCGGGUGGUAACACAGCUCGAUAAAGUCCACGGGACGAAAGACUAACUUUUACGUCUAUAGCCCAUGUGGGAUAAUUGUGGCCGUCUAGAGCUAGUAAUUCAAACUCUUUGACAGUCAUUGAUCCUACAUGAUAUAAAAACCAUCGAAACAUUUUAAGUUAUUAAAAUGUUGAGGUGUGUUGUAAUUAUGGGAUGCAAAUAAAAACAAGAUAAAUCUUGUAUCGGUAAUGGUGUAAAAUUCUUAUAUGCAUAAUAAAGCAAUGGAGGUAGUCAAAAAAAAAGGGUGUAGACCUCUAAUUGGGCAUAUUAUGUGUAAAUAGUAUAUGCCAAUUAAUUAUGCAAAUUGUAUAACGCGUCUGAAGGUAGUCAUCAAGAAUUGAUGUAGACCUUAGUUUAAUUUGCAAACGAAUUGGGUACGCACGCUGAGGAUAGUCACUAAGUAGUAUACUUAGUGUAGAUCCCACAGUAGCAACAACCGGUGCUACCUUGUGUAUGGCCAAUAGGGAUGCAAAUUAAUGGUAGUCAUCUUUGUGAAAAGAUGUAGACCAAAUGUUCUAAGGGGUAAUGUUGGGUACGCACGUUGAGGAUAGUCACUAAGUAUUGCUUAGUGUAGAUCCCGCAGUAGCAACUAUGGUGCUACCUUGUGGAGUGGCCAACAAAACGACUCUAGAACAUGCGUGUUAUAUAAUUGUUAAGAAAAUUACACAUAAAUUGUCGCAUCCAUUAUUUAAGUGCGUAGUGCUUUAAAGUUAAAAGCGUAAAGGAACUUAAAUAAAAAAAAUGAUCGAUUGCGAAAUAAAUAAAUAAUUGCAAGAUCAUGGUCACAAUAACAAGGAUAUUAUUUAUUGGAUUUGUCAUUCAUACCGGGACAAACACUUUGAAUAAUAUCACAAACAGAUAUUUUAUAACAAUAUAAAGUAUCACAAGUACAACUAUAGUUAAAAGUCUGGAACUAAACAUAUAGGAGUACUAUUUUUACAACAAAUAAUUAUACGAGACCACACCAGAGUCAUAUACGAAUUAUUGCUGAAAAUAAAUAAGAUGAAUAAACAAGUAGCCUGCUGUGCCAAAUUAGAGUUCAAGUGAAUUUGAAAUGGGCACAGCAGCCUGUGCGAGCGUGCAAGUGGAGACUGGAAGCAGGGCGUAGGCCUUCAUGGGCUGGCCCAUUUGCUGGAGCAGCACAUAUAUAUACGGGGCUGGAACAGGCAGCUAGGGUUGAAAUCCAACCACACGCCGCCGUAUAGCCUGAAGACCACCGCCGCCACUUUAUCUGGAUGUUGGUGCCGCUGCUCCCUUCCACUGCGCCGCCGCUGCUGCAGUUCUUCAGUUCGAGGAAGACUCCCCCUCAUCAGGGGAGUAGAAGCCGCUGCCGUUCACCAACUCGUUGAGGGUCGCCGCAGACGGGAGGCCGUGCGUCGCCGGGUUCCGCGAUCCUCUGCGGAUCUCAGGGCGCCGGUCCACUGCAGCCACGCUACGACCCAGAAGGCGCCGGAUCGACGGAGUUGUUGUGGUUGUGCCUUCGGUCGGAGUUGGGGGCGCCGCCGGGAGGGCCUGCGCAGCCAUGCGUGCCGCAGCCUCCGCGCGUGUCGCUGGUGGAGGAGGAGCCGAGGGCCCGGCCCUGUCGAGGAAGAAGUACGGCGAGAUGCCGGUCCUCGCAGCGGUGUUGAAGAUGUCGCCGAGAUUGAAGAGGUUGCCGACGCCGGGUGCAGCCACCACAUCGACCUCGUCCUCGACCUUCACUGCAUCGAGCGCAGGGGCAGCCUGCGUGUUCAGGAACCACGGAUCCAGUGGGGGAACGCCAUUGCCUGGCGCCAUUGGAGUCGGAGGAGUGGGCGUCGGCAUCAGCGUGUGCGGGAUCGACGUGUACUCCUUGCAGAAGUCGCACCAGUAGCGCGACGGUGCCGGUACUGGCGAUAUGGGCUCCAUCGGCAUGUAGGAUGGAGUUGGAGCAGCGGCGGGCAUCAUCUCCACGGCUUCAGCAAGCGGCAUCGGGGCUUCGACGAUUGGUGGCGCCGCGACUUCAACAGCGGGCGGCGCCGUGUUGCUGGGGCCGGCACCGUCCGCGCCAAGGCGAGGAGACGGUGGCUGGCUCUGCAGAGGGCGAUCUUGCGGCGAAGCGAGGCGGCCACGACGAAUCGGGGACCAACGGCGACGGUGAACAUCUGCACGGACGUCACGAACAGCCGAGUCGAAGAUGCGGCCGUAUGGACCAUGGCCAUGGCCAUGGGCAGCAGUGCGGCGGAGACGAGGCCCAAGGCGCUCGAAAACACUGUGACGCUGUCCAUGGUGGCCGUGGUGACGGAUCGGGCCACGACGGACUCCACCAACGCGACGGAGAGCGAAGAACAAUCCACGAGCAAUGUGUGAAGGUAAAUCGACAUUGAUUCGCGCCAUAGGGCUUACCGGUGGUCGGUAUAGAGGCAUGGAUUGCCUCUGUUCGUCGUUCUCCUUCUGUAGAGCAAAAGUGCUGAUAACGUGUUAAGAGUGAAUGUAAAUGAACAGUGAACAACUUAUGUCUUUCAUUGAUCUCAUAGAAUAUAUACAAGUGAAGGGGGCAUGUCCGUACGGACACAACCGUUCAGUUUACAGAACCACCGAAGGGACAUGCCUCUUCAGGGAUUACUAACUGCUAAUCCUAUGAUUAACUGCUAAUCCACUUCUCUAAUCUUGUUGUAUCAACGGAUGAGAUCAUUAGUGAUAAGGUGUCUAUUCACCAACAGACACCGUUUCGCAACAGAAAUCUGCAUACUGAUAUUUAUCCUAAUGUUUGUUGCCUUUGAUUGUCCAUGCAUUCAUAACUAACGCGUGCACACCAAGUCAUAAAUGCUGCUUCAAGUUUGCCAUUGCUAUUUUGUGACCUCUGUUGAUCUUUUACCGUCUAUCAGGGGUCAUAUUUUUUUCUUUUAAAACACCAUUCAGGAACUAUUAUCUCUUUUUUUUUCUUUUGUUUAUCUAACUGCCUAAACACUCGAUGCUGACACAUUUUUAAUCUGAUGAUGGGACUGAACUAGGUAUUGGUUACUGGCUCCCUGCAUCUCAUUGGUGAUGUCUUGAGAAUAAUCAAGAAGUGAUACAUACACCGCUUGAAUUUCAAACUGGAGCCGACCUAUGAUAUAUCCCUCCACAAGGCUAACCUGAUUAGCAAGGGCAGAAAAUUUCAACGGUUUGCUUAUGAUGCUAACCAAGCUGCGAGGUUCUUGUGUUUUCUGGCCACUGUCGCCUUUCACCCAGAAAACCGCUGUGCUCAUUCUUGUAAAGGCAUGAAAUAGGAUGAUCACAUGCCAUCAUUGGACAUAACUGGGAAUUCGACAUGAAAUUGGGUCAAUCUGUACACUCACAAAAUAAGAGUGCAUGGGUUUUCUUCUUCAAAUACAAACACUGCAAAGAAACCAAUCAUUCUUCUCCAGAGUAAAAAAGAAUUCAUGUUGUGAUGAUGUAUCCUUGUUCUUUCUCCCUGACGAAAAACUGAUGGUCCAACAGUGUUUUCCCUGUACCAUAUCCGUGUGUUUCCUUGGCGGUCACUCCCAUGUUCAGACCUUAACGGCUGACCUGACCUCAGCAUCUGCAGGAUUGCUUGUUGAUAUCGCAACGCAAUGAUACGGCCUAACAGUGUUUUCCCUGUGGCUGAAUCGCAUCCGUGCAAAACCAUCUUUCCAAGUCCAGCCACAAUUCUGUUAGGCAUGGCAAUAUGGCAUGACACUGGGUUUCGCCAUCAGUGUCAGGGGCGACCUCGCUCUGAUCCCAUUCGAUUUCGAUUGCUAUCCGGUGUUCGCACCAAGCCAAACUGGUGAGGCAAGCGCACGCCUGCCCCGGUGUCGUGUAUCGCCUCAGCAAUUCAACAGCAGGGUCUCCAGAUGGCCGAGAUGGAUUACUUUCUGUGCCGCUCUUCUUGUCUGCAUCCGCGUAUCUGAACUCUUAUUCCGUUGCCUGUGUGUGACCAUGACAUCAUUCAAAUGUAUUAUCAUAAACUAUACUAGUAUAAGCUACAAUAAACUACUAGUACUAACUACAGUAUCAUAGAAAUCCCGUCAAGUGAUGGCUUUGACUUUGAGAUAGCUAAAGCUAAGCUAGGACACCACCAUCCCUUGAUGCAUUGCACUUGCACGCUAUAUAGUAUAGCAACUGAGAAACCAACACACCUCUCUGUUCAGAGUUCGAAGACUCUCUUGCCAUCUCCAACCUCCUCGACCUUGCUGAAACCCUGAAACCAUGGGAAUGGGAUUGCCACGACAAAGCUUCAUCAGGUUCAUGGUAGUAGUACUCACAGUCUCGCUCCUGGGAGCAGAGCUGAGAGGCCUCUUCUGCCACGGCCGGCGGAUUCCGGGCUCCGAGGUGGCCAUCACGGCGCACGACGAUGUCCAGUCGCCACCGACGCUGAGGGAAGCUCAAGGCUACUACUCGCCGUCGUCCUCGUCCUCGUCCAGCAAGCGACCUCGGUGGAGGCGCGUGCAGGAUCUGUCAGAGUCCAAGAGAAGUGUGCCGCAGGGACCCAACCCGCUGCACAACUGAAGCCUUGGACUCUCGGUGCUCCGGCUCACUCAGCAUCUACCACUAUGAUCUAUCUGAGAUUCUCUGAGCCCUUAGCCUGAGCAACUUUUUGUAAGUACUAGAAGAGUAGUAGAAUUGGCUGGCAUAGUACAUGUAGUGCCCACCGACCGUGAUUGUUACCUGUCUGUCACUGGCACUUUCUGUUCUGUUCUAAGUGUUGUUUGCUCUGCCAACAAGCGUGCAUGAUCGAGGGUGAGAGCAGGUGGUUGUGGUGCCAUCCAUGUUGUCCGUCCUCUUCAUUCUCUGUAGCGACCCAGGAAGCGGACGGAGGUGGGUUGGGUGGAUGAGGCAGCGUGGCCGUGGCCGGCGGGAGCGAGCUCACGUGCCAUGACACCAUCCAUGUCAAUCCACUGCUCACGUGCCAUGACACCAUCCGUGCCGUCGAUUUGGUCCCUGUCAGCGUCACUUUCCUUGGUUCGUUUCGGGCGCCUCACGGUUUUUCUGGACACCGCACGGGGCAGGCACGGCCGGCCGGUGUGCGUCGAUCCUUCUCCGGCCGGAGAGCUGGACGAUGCCACGGUCUCUUGGAGGAUGACGUUGACGGCGACCACCGACCGAUCGCCAGAAACCGUUGGCGGGCCACAGAUCGAGCUAUAUAUACGGGAGACGGCCAUCCGAAUCAAUGCCACGGUGGUCCAAACCGAUGUUGCACCGUCGGCCUCUGGCGACCGUGCCCGCCUUCUCCGUUUGCUCCCCGUUUUUGACCGGUGUGGCAACGCAACGCAACGCAGUGGUAGUUCGGUACAGAGUGCAGGACACCAAACAGUAAUCUGAGAUGGAACUCCCAGCAACAUUAUCUGUUUUCAUCUGGAGAGGCACCGGUCUUUCUUGUCCAACCUGAACGUCAACAUCUCAGAGAAAAAGAAAAGUAGAGAGCCGACCACGUAGCAAACUCAGUAGAAUCCCAGUCAUCACAUCAGCUGGUUCCCCACGGGGUCAACGGUGAAAUGCAGGUGCAGAGAUUUCUCCACGAUCGGGUGGAACUUGGAUGCCCACAUCUGCAACUCACAGGCCAAACACACGAGUUAAUUAUACUAGUACUUGUUAUGGAGAUGGCAAAGACUAGUAGUAUUCCUAUGGAAGAGUGUGGAUUCAGGCAAUGGCUGUAGUUUGCUAUCCUACUUUCGGUUCAGAGUUGGAAUCCAACCCUGCAUGUGUGUGCACCAUCAUUCUGUAUGUACCUCUAUCUUGUUUUUUUUUUAUUUUUUAGUUUUAAUUUACUCGGGUAAGUCGAAUGUGGUAUGCAGGAAACUCAAGAUAUGAAAUCCAUUUCAGCAGAGUUCUUACAUCCUUGUACUCCAUGCUCUCCCUGAACAGCUUGAAGUCAUCAACUGCAUGAUACGACAGACUGAGUAAGCAACCAUAGCUCUAACAUGCUGCUAACUUAUACACAGAGAUUCUGACUUAUGCAUAGGAUGAGACAAAACUUAUAGCCCACUAACAUGAUGUGAAACGGAUUACUGCAGCAUGAUUGUAUCCAUUAUCUGGAUGAUCCAAACAGCAGCCUAUACAAAAUAGAAGUAUAACAUUAGAAGCAGUUAUUUGAGAUUUUUUGGGGGGGAAAGUGUUGGUAAGAGAAAAUGCACAUGUUAAUAACAAUCUAUGUGAAACAAGAUAAGCAUGUUAUAUGCCUUCAGCCAUAUGUACAGCAAAUUCACAAUCGCAGUAGCAAUGUGACAGAAGAACCAUGAGGAUAUCUUGUUGUCUUACCACAGGUUGCCUGCACAAUAAAAGAGCUGCAUUGGCUGAUCAACUUCUGAAGAGAAGCUAAUGCAUCCUCCGUUGCUUCUCUAGAUGCAGUCUUAAAGAAAGAUAUCAGCAGCAUAAACUCGACACCGUAGUUAAAAUCCUGCCACAGGAACCAACUUUUCUGUUUUAGUGCAAAAAUGGACAGUGGCACAUUUUUUACAUAGCUAAACAAUGGUAUCAGUUUACACCAGGAUAAGUUAGCUUGAGUUACCUCUCCCCUACGAAAGAGAGGUAUAAUGUCAUCUUCCACCUCGGACUCGAAAUCUACAGAAACCGAGCCCUGUAAGUUAUCCAAACAGCGACUAUCAUGGUGCUAUGAGCAUAGAGAAUCAGUAUGGUGUAAGAACCAGAAAGAAGAUUACAUGCUGAGGCGUACAUAGGAAACAGGUUUUACGUGCUCAUCAAGAACUUUCGAAUAGUAUGCACUGCUCUGGAACUUUGCAAUGUCUUCUUUCUGCUGAAAACGCAUAAAGACAGCGUGUGUGAAAUUCUCGCUGUUGGGGUCCUCUAUGCGGCCUGCAUCCAAUAUAUCACAAAUAACAAAUUGAAGUUCAUACAUAUUAACUGAUUCUGCAGUUGAAGUGUAUAUAAGCCUAACCUAAUGAGACUGCGAGUAUCCCUCUCAUCUGGUACUGUGAUGUAUAUAGAUAGUCCAGCAUAUCUUUUUCUUCGGCAUCUGAGAUGUUUGGCUUGGCUCUAAGCAGAAUAAUGUGCUCCACAAUCUUUCUGCAAAGUGUACUAGAUCAGCUGUAUACUACAGCUCUGCACAGUACAGGGCAUGAGGUAACAGUAUACAGAAUUUAGAACACUCAUUGUAAAUAUGAUACUUUCAGUGUCAAUUUCUUCGCAAAAAUUUUACAGUUUUGAAGUGAUUUGGUAAUGCAACACUUAGAAACCACUCACCUUUUCUUCAUAAGACCACCAGAAUGUGCCCCAUUGCUGGAUUCAAGCACACCACGAGUGGAAAGAAUUAUCUUCUUUCCAGUCCCCCACCAUCUGCGACCUACACAAACUCAAAGGACUUCAGAAUCUAUAUUCGACAUGCAUACACUUCAAAAAGAAGGCCAAAGCUGAGAUCGAGAACUCACAUCGGUCCAAAUUCUGCACAGGUAGUUGAUGCAAUCUAAAGCAGCUCCCAACAGGUCGUAUGGUGUGAGGCACCUGGGCUGAUGCUGGCACAGACAUCCUGAUGAUUUAGAGCCUGGAAGCUUUAGCUCAUUGUUGCCACACUGGUUUUUAUGGUUUUGGGUGGAGUUAUGGUAUGGUGGUAACCGUGAGCAAAAGCAGGAUCUUUUGGGUUGAGUGCACAUAGUGUGGCAGGACAUCCUCUGUCCUCACCAUCAGUGGGUGGUUGGAGUUAAUAGCGCUGUCCUUUUCACAGCUCCACAAUUUCAGAUAUUUUUUCACAACAAAGAUACAUCUCUCAUUGAAAAAUACAAACUAGUAUUAGAACUGCCAGUGCCACAGAACUGCACCAACACUUUGGUCACCAAACAGUGCCACAGAAUUGCACCAACAUCAGUUUGCAUAAUCACCAAAGGGGAUAAAAUUAAAAGUAGCCUAAAUUAGAGUGACAUGAGAAUUACACCAGUCGACGUUCAAAUUAUUCACAAGUUUGAUCACAACGAAAGAUGCUACAAUUCCAGAACCAAAACAAUGAAGAUCCUAAAGACUAUAAACGCUGGAUGGACUUGACGGACUCUAAGAUCCUAACAUACUGAAAGAACAAUGAAGAAUGUUCGCCCUCCAAACCAUUUCUGUGGUGACGGUUGCUCCCAGCAAGAUUGUUACAGGGACUUCCACCAAUCACAAGAUCAAAGCCGCCAAAUCUUCUAAUAUAUGCCUCAAUCCUCUCAGAUGUCAGUGUCUGCACAUCAUUGAUCUCAAUCAAAGUACCGGUCUGCGUCUGAUCCCACCAACUCCUCAGAAUUGUCCUAUUGACCUCAGACUUCUCUACUGAAAUAACUGUCUUCAUGCGUAUACCAAGCCUGUGGAGAGCCACCUCUGCUCCUCCAAUACCAGAGAAUAAAGAUAGUACAUUCAUGCCUUCUGGGUACAUAUCCUUGAGGACUGAGAGAUGGUAAGCAACAGUAUCAACUUGAAAUGAAUUUCCUAGAGAUCGAAACCUCUCUGUCCUGCAGAUACCUCUGGUGUGAUCCUUCGGAAAGCCGAGUAGAAACUCCAUCUCAUCAGGCUCUAGAGGAGCAACCUUGUUUAAGCCAACCCAAGCAAGAUUCCAUUUCCUACACUCCUCCAACACCAGCUUCUGAACUCUUGGAGGAGGUGGAUCUGAACUGUUUGUAAGGGUUACGCGAAUCUUCUCUAACAGUUUUGCACUAGACACACAAGUCUGGAGGCAAUUGAACUGUUGUCUUGGGUCCCAUGAUGGCCACCACCUUUUGGUAUGAGGAAAUGCUACAGUUAUUGUCCUUGGAGGUUUAGGGAGGAGAGGUGACCUGUUCUCAAGUGGCAAAUUGUGUAUAUAACCUCUUUUCCUGGCAGCAGCACAGAAGUACUUCGAGUCCACAAACUCCGGCUGAAUAUCAUACAAGAAUCUUGAUAUGAUAGUCCAGACACCUUUUGGAGCAAGAGCAACAUUCUCAUAGUAGAAGUAUGGUGGACCCAUAGCUAGUGCAGGUAGAUCUCUGUUCACUGGUCUUGGCCACUGAUCUGGCAAGCUAAAUCCAACCAUUGGAUUUGGGAGCAGCAUGGGUUCAUCAGCGCUACCAUCUAAUGGGCCUCUACUUCCCAGUGCUUGACUUCCAUAUCUCUUUCUCUUUUUGUUGUUCCCAUCCAUGAACCUUCCUUUGUUUCUCCCUCCAUCCUGCAGUAUUGCAAACACAGUUCCAUUAUCAGACCAUUAAAUUAGAACUAAAUCUUAUUGCAGACUUGUAUGGACAGUUCACCAAAGACGAACCUCAUAGUCAGACAAAUUGCCACAAUAACCAUCUCCUGCGGUCUGUGAAGCAUAGAUAGAAUCCGCCAGAACAGAAAUAGACGCAUCCUGCCCUGAGUAAUUUUAAACCACAGACGACAGUAGAUGGUGUAAGGUGCAUGAUCAGUGAACAGGGGCAUUUGGAGAAUACUUAGACAAGAUCUAAUGAUAAACUCUGAAGAUAAGUUAAAAUAAAACAGGGGCAAGGACAGAAUCUGAGUAAAUCAAGCUUGGAAAGAAUAAACCAUUCUAGGUUAUCUCAGUUCAAGAUUGUAGCCAAUUUACGAGUUCCAACUUACAGCAUUUGAGGAAAAUUCUCAAAAUCCAGAUUCCAGAGAUAAACCAAUAGAAAGUUAGACAUAUAAUUAAACAUGGCAAUGUUAUUACUCAACUGAUUUAUUCUAUAUGAGAGCAUAUCCUACUUUCAAGGUUGGAAACUGAAUCUAAGGCAAACAGAGGAGCAUGGAAUAAAGGUUCAGAGAGCACACCGCAUCUAGUAAUAGCCAGUGCAGCCUCGUCUUCAGGAAACCCCAUUUUAACUAAGGAAUCAAUUUUGUUGUCCUUCUGUGACAUCUCAUGUAAGAAAUCCUGUGUAGAAAGCACAGGAAAGCACUGAGAAUACAGUUGACAAGCUACAUAAACUAGCAUUCCAAUUACCUUCCAAAGGACAAAAACAACAAUUCUUAUAAUAUGUAUAAAAAUGGGAAGUAUCAUAACUAUGGACAAGUUAGGAAAACAAUUAGUUUCUUAUUGACAAAAACAAAUGUAACUGUAAAAAAAUGGAAGUCCAGCUGUAGUCCAAUUCAAUCAACUCUCAGCUACAUGAAGUCGCAAGCCAAACACCAGAAAGUACAAUGCAAGUUCAAUGUUAGAGUUGAACAGGAAUGUUGUUGCACACAGAGCCUCCAAUUCUCAGGAUCAGUGAUCAAUUGCACAAGUAUCAAAAAAAGGAAAUAGAUUAUAAUUUAUAACCCAUAACUGAAGGGUUUUUUCGUGAAUUAAAAGUUAAAACACUAGGAGAGAGUGCUAUUACAGGGAGGAGGGGGUACACCAAACUUAAGUACAAAGAAAUGAAUGUCAGAUACAAAAUAAGAACAUCAUUAAUGACCCACCCACAAUUUUGCAAUUUCAUUUGUUAGUCCAUGGUGGCGUCUUGUUCAAGAAUGUCAUUAACACGAAAGUUCUAAUCAUACGCAUAAGAUGAAAUGCAAUAGUUCCAAGUUUAUGAUUGACAUAACUUUCUUGCUUACUGUCUUAGUGAUACGAUUUUCUUACAAAAUUAAUGAUUUUGGUUUCAUUCAAACAUGCUGUUUUGCCUAAAAGAACCCGGUUGUCCCAAAAGAUAAGGGACAAAACAAAGUAGAUUGGCUUUCUAGUACAGCUAUGUAGCUAACAGCUGUUUGAAAACCAAAGGAACAGGUGCAAGUAAAAGUAAGGAACCUUAUGGUUUUUUUAUAAGCAGUCUACUUACUGGAUUAACAUUAAACAAGUUUAAUGCAUAAGUAUAUAUAUGAUUGAAGCAAACUAAAUACAUAGCAGGUUUCUCAAAAGAAUAAAGUAAACGCGUACAGUCACCAAGGGGGCGCGUCAAAAUACCUCGUCUCCAGAAUCAUCAACAGAAUUAGCAACUCUGGUGCUUCUCCCACCAGCAUCUAAAUCAUCCCAGUUUUCUAGAAAGUCAUCAUCACCACUAUCGUCAACAGUUUGGGGGACACAACCAGAAGCAAAGCCGUUAUCCACGUUGAGGUCAUUGCCUAGUUCCUGCAUUUAGCAUCACUUUGUAAAUACAAAUCCUUUUUGACACCAUGCAAAAAACAUCAUCAAAGAAUAACUAAUAGAAGCACGAACACAAAUGAAUACCUGGUAAGUAAGAAGCAGCUCAACUAAUGCAUCUGCUCCAUUAUCGCCUGAAAGAAAAAAAGCAGCUGUCAGGUAGAGUAUAUAAAAUCACAUAGAAUCUAAGUGAAUGAGAAGAAAUGGGUUAUUAGCUAAGUACCAUUGUCCUUUAUGGCCUUCACAACAAUCUCUUCUGCGAAACCCAUGUCUAUAUACCUCUGAACCAAAGAGGCAGAUGGCCCAGCCUUCCCAUUGCCAUUAGCAACCUUAAAAUCGGCCCCACAAACAAACAGAAACAUUACAAUGGUAGCCAGCAGAAACAAGGUAACAGUAACACAAAGAGUGUUCGUGUCGCUAUACACUAAUCAUGAUCCUGAUUUUGUUCAUGAUUAUCAUAUAUAUCCACCCCCACCCAGGCCAGUUUAGCGCAAGUGAUUUGAAAAACCCUGAGUAACAUGAACUGAAGAACAACUAGCUGAGUUCACACAUUGCUGCAUGUAUGGAUCAGUUACCUGGCUUACCCGUCUCGAUGGGCCUGGAGCGUCAGUGUUCGUUGAUGCCAUUGCUGAUGAACUGGCACCAGCAGUGUUGAAGCUCCCUGCCUCCUCCCCAUUGCCAUCACUAUCCCAUUCGAAGCUGUCACUGCCAUCACCGUCGCUAACCCAGUGCUGUGACACGAAUUAAGAACUAAACAUCAGGCACAUCGAGAAACAAUAGGACCAAACCACCAUCAAUCCCGAAAUAGCAUCCAAAAUGCAAGCUCUAACUUGAUCCAGUGUUAAGAAAACCCUAGCGCUGAGCAGCAAAAGGGAACAAAACCCAACCUCGCGACAUCAGGGAACCCAAUCUAACGCGCGGAAUCACCGUAGCAGUGGACCAGAUUAUUAGCAUCAAGAAUUCAUGGCGCGAGAGAUCAUCCCUUCACAAUACAUGGAGGCUUCGUUUGGAUAGCCUUGGAUCUGCGGGGAUCGGAAGGGAUUCCGGCCUCCCAUGGAAGCAAACCCACGCUGGAGUUCCAUCCACGUGGAUGCACAGAAACUGCAUUCAGGUCUGGCUUGGUCUCCCUGUCCACUCUAUGUUGUCUUGCUAAGUUUCUUUGUUGUGCAUUUUUAGAGUUCUGAUCUGAGAUUGGGUUGGAUUAUGAAGUUCUAUUAACAAAUGGAUUGUUCUGAAAUAAGAUUGGGUUGGAUUGUAAAGCAGUCUAUAACUGUUCUUAUAAAAAAUUAUAUAUACACUGAUGUACUACCUCUAUGUGUUGCAUGCCUAUAAUUUUCCGACUGUAAUCUUGUUGACAAGUGGCUGCAAUACUACACCAUGAAUGUUCUCAUUAUCUUCUUAUGAUGUUGUUUAUCUCGCCUACUACUAGUAUGUAAUAAAUUAUCUAAUCUAGAACCUGCUGUUUUUUUUUUGUUUUGUAGACAACAAAUCUUGGUCAAUCUUUUUUCUUCAAAGCACUUGGAAUCGACUAGGCAAUCAGAGCUAUUGUUGAAGAAAAAUUGCAAUGUAAUUGUCUGCAAAUAUUUCCAUCUAGCAUUUAUACAAUAUUAUAGAGGAUGGGUUCUUGCUGCAAUAUGUUGAUUUGAGCUUACAACUUCUUACUGAUGAUGUGCUUGAGUAGCUAUGUCUGUCUAAUUACUUUCACAUCUUGUAGCAUAUAUGUCUAUCUAAUUAGCUAUGGGCUUAAGUAGCUCAGGGUUAUCUUUUAUCCAUCUUAAAAUUUCAGAUCUGUGAUGACUUGUUUUUGUGCAUUCGUUUUGACAGAUUAUUGGUAGCUUCUCCCUUCUCCUUUUGUUCCCCACGACUGUGACCUUGUCCAAGAAACAGCAGAAAGCCUCUGUGAUUUUUAGGUAUGGCUUUGGUGAGGUUGCAGAGAAAUCAAGGGCAGGAUCAGGAGCGGAUGAAUACUUCAUCAAGGAAUGCAUUAGUGUCAUCAACACCAUGGUAGAACUCACUAGCGAAGAAAAGGUUGAAGCUUUUGAUGUUUUCAAAGAUGCUUAGAACAAGGAAAUUUUCAUGAAUGCAGAUUCAACAACACGUCUGAUUUGGAUAAGGAAGAAAUGGUUAGUUGUUUAGUUUUGUCUUUGAGUUUGCUGACAUUUUUUUCAUUACUUUCAUGAACUCACUAGAAAGCUUUGCUUUGAACCAGUAUGCACUAUGCAGACAUAAGGGAAACAAGGCAAUUGAAGAAACAGUACGAAGCAGAUUAGGCCUAAACUUGUCCUUUUAUAUCAUUAAAAUUUUAACUAUGUUGUAUCACUAAAAUAUGCUCUCUCCAUUCUCUUUAAUGUAAUCGGAUACUAUAGAUUUUUCUUAUGGUCUUGGAAAUGUGGCACUGACCUGGAAGCUAUUUUGUGUUUACUGUACACGAUUAUUGCUGAUUUGUUUGCUGCUUUGAGGUGUUUGCAGUGUUGAACUAGCCGUGGUCCAACAGAGUGGUUCAGAAAUUUUGUUCUUUGAGUUCUCUACUUGUUGCUCAUCUCCCUGGGGUCUUGCACAGUAUAUAAUAGUCAAUGAUACAAGUGUACUUGACUUAAGCGCUGCCUCUCGUCAGCAAAUCUUUUAGCAAUACAAGUGUACUGACUGACUGUGAAAAACUUUGGAGAAUUGAAUGAUCAUAUAUUGUUUGUUCUUACAGAGUAGUUUUCAGACUUUGUACAAUAGAGCUUGCUUUCGGUCUUCCGUUUCGUCAGUCUGGCAGAUGAUUCAGAGUUGUAAAAGUAUUCUUGCCUUGUUGCUCACCAAUGUCUAAAAGUAUGAAUACUUUGCUUGCAGGAAAGAAGUGAAAGUGCACCUUUCGUUUCAAGUGCAAGUCUAAGUGGUUUCAGUUCAACUUCUUUCGGCACCGCUGGGAUGCUAGCACUAUUUUAUUUAUUUAGGAAUCUUGAAAACAAAUGUCUUGUUUCCUAAAUUUGUGUAUGCAUGUGCAAGCCCUAGUUCAAUAUGCUGAUGGUCACGUCUUCCUUACUUAGCCGUGAGCUACUUCGAAACUUGGUGAAGAAUGUUCUGGUAUAUGACCAUGUGAUGUGAUUACAUUCGACAUAUUUUUUCUUAUAAUGUUUCAAUCGUUGCUGCACCUUCCAAUACAUUUAUUUUUUAUUUUUUACUGAUGAAAAAUGGCUUCUCUUGCUCAUUUUCUGUUAUUUUUGAAUUUUAGACAUGGAUUUUGCUAGUAUUUUCUUGAAUUUUAGAGCUCGUUUUUGUGCUCUCCCAUGGUUCGGUUCUGAAUUCUAGAACACUACCAUUUUGAAUUAUGGUUAAAUAAUCAGUAAAUUCAACAUUGAAUUAGCUUUGAUGAGCAUUAGUAGUACACGAACACAAUAAAACGCCAAACUGAGCUAAUUAGCGCACAAUCCAAAUGAUGCCAGGGAAUCAAGGGAUUGGAUCACGUUGGUGGGAGGGGAUUGGGUGGUGGGAGGGGAUCAACCCAAUCCCUGCGUGGGGGAUUUCUCUCUUGUAUUACUUUCCCCAGCAGCCAAACGAAGCUGGAAGGGGACAGAGUAGAGGAAAGCAGGGGAAGGGAGGUCUUACCGCCAUUCCCGAACCUUCGCGAAGGGGCUCCGGGGGCUGAGGCACCGGACGGAGUGGGACGGCGCAGCCUCUCUCCGCCCCCCCUCGGACUACCUCUGCCGCUUCUCCCCUCCCGUCGCCGUCGGCCCCGCCCCUCCUCGGACUACCUCUGCCGCUUCUCCCCUCCCGUCGCCGUCGGCCCCUGCGCGCUGGGAGUUGGGAGGCGGUGGCAGAGGAGGAGGAGGAGCAGGAGGCCGCGCCGGCGACAGGGCGGCUCUGCCUGCCUCCACCGUCUCUGCUUUGCCCGCUUUUAGACGAGAGGGGGAGACGGCGAAUCUCCAAGCAAGUCUCAACAAGAAACUCACGCGCCGCGCCCGCCAAACAGCACCAGCAAUGGGCAGGUCGCUGGUGGUACGCCACUGGCAUGUGGGGACAGCCUCAUGUGUGCCAGGGCUGUCAGCGAGAGAGUGCGGCACUGUCCCGGGAACGCCGGUACCAAUAAAUGUACGUCUCGUUUUUUGAGUCAAACAUGGUUAAGUUUAAUCAAAUAUAUAAAAAAAUAUACUAAUAUUUAUCAUAUAUAAUAUAUAUCAUUAAAUUCGGUAUAAAAUAUACUUUUAUAAUAUAUUAUUUAUAUAUAUAAAUAUUAAAAUUAUUUAAUAUAUUUUUAGUUAAAUUUAAAAAAGUUUAAUUUUUCAAGAUUUACACAUGCAAUAUUUAUUUGUAGACAGAGAAAGUAGGUGGUGAAAGAUCCUGUGUGGCGGCUGAUCAGUGGUCACCGGUGUGGGGAGCAUUUCCCGAUGAUAACAGAAGCAGAUGGAGUCGGGGUUCCAUUUCGAAUUUGGUGAGGCACACGGCCAGAUGCAGAGUCGCGGCGCAGCGCAGAUCUCAAGAUAAUGAGAAGAGAGAGAAAAACUGUAUUUAUGUGGUGGUGACAGGACAUGUCAUCCACCACAGCGCCUUUAAGGCACCGCUAGCUGUCACGCGCAUUGCGUGACAGUCUUUCACUGGUUUUAUAUAAUUUAAUAUAAAAAAUAUUAUUAAGUUAUUUAGGCUAUUAUAGUUGUCAUAUAUUUUAUAGUGUGAUAUAGCUUUUAAAGCACCGUAGAUAUAGCGAUAGCAUGUGAUCGUUUUUAUAUGAUUUUUAUAUAAAAUAUGUUAUUAAAUUAUUUAUUAUAUCAAAUAAGUAGUGCUUUGUUAUACAUGUAAUUAUUUUUAGAUAUAAUAUAUUUUAUAUAAUAAAUAGAGUUAAAUGCAGUGGCAGUCCUUAAACUUGUGGUCCUAACCAUUUACAUUUAGAUCCAAAACACUCAAAAUUAAAAUCUAGUCCAAAACACUCAAUCUUGGCUGAGUGAGGAGGCGGAGGCGAGUGUGUCAGCGAGUCUGCGACGCUUAGGUCCUGAUGCUGGGUGAGGCAGAGGCGGAGGCAAGGCUCAAGCAGGAGAGGCGGGAGUAGAGCUUUGAGCAGGUGGAGCCGAGACAAAGGAAAGGAGAGAAUCAAGAGGAUUUUCUCCACUGCUGACUAACAGUCCAUCCAACGGUCAAGUUGAAGCAGGAUACGGAGAGAAUAAUCAUGAGAAAAUAUGUUGAUCUAGAAUCUAUAUAGCUUUUAGCAUGAUUAAGAGGAGAGAAGCAACCCCAAACAGGCAGCCAAACUAUUUAGAGCAGGCGAUGUUUUUCGGUGCCAGCGAGAUAUUAGUGUGGCUCAAUUAUUUGCUCAAACACCACCGUGAUGCCAUUGCUCUACUCUAUCGGCCUCAUGUGCCCCGCCGCGUCCCGGUGAGCGUCGCUCCAUCGCGCUCGCCACUAGACUUAGGCGUUCACUCCAAAAACUAAAAACUUUUUAAAAUUUUCUAUCAUAUCAAAUCUUGGAGCACAUGCAUAAAGCAUUAGAUAUAGACGAAAAUAAAAACUAAUUGCACAAUUUGAUUGUAAGUCACGAGAUAAAUCUUUUGAAUCUAGUUAGUUUAUAAUUAGAUAAUAUUUGUUAAAUAAAAAUACUACAAUGCCAAAAUCCGAAAUUUUUUCGGAACUGAACAAGGCCUUAGCGAGCAUCGCUUGACCGCACCACCGGCCGUUCAUGGUUUGCAGCCACGACAAGUGCUGAUUCUUCUUUUUGCAUGAGCUACUCCGAAAACAGAACAAGCUACUCUCAGGCUAGGAGUUAAAAGCUAUAUAGAUUAACAGAGGCCAUUCGAAUUUCAAACCACCGGUGAAAAAAUAUUAUUGGCUUUUAAUGGCAAUUUGCAAAUAGCUAGCUUAAAAAGUCGCUAGCUAUUAGAAAGUCACUAGCUAUUGUGAGAGAGUUAUUUCUAGAAGAUCGUGCUAGAUUAGCUAUUUAUGAUUCGCUAGCUAUUAGGAAGUCGCUAGCUAUUUGAUCUCUCUCCUCGAUAGCCAAUGAGAGUGCUACUUUUUUAUUAUUUUUAUACGUCAUCUCGCUAGCUAUUUGUAAAGUGCUAUUGAGAGCCAAUAGAAUUUCUCCUAACUAGCUAUUUGAUAACCAUUGUGGAUGACCUUACAGCCAGAAAAGCUGCUCUAGUCUCUAGAACUGUAUUUUUCUUUUACGGUUGAAGUAUAUUAGUAUUAGCACUUCAAGGUGGAGAUGCAACUAACCCAUCAGCACUAUUUUUUUUAGCCAUUAAACAGUGUUUUUCUCUCAUUAAUAUCGGCGUUAGUCUUUUUUCAACCAGCCGACCUUGUUUGGAUAUUAUCGGAUUCGCAUCAAUCCACAUGUGUUGAUGUAGAUUAGAGUGGAACUUGAACUAAAUUCCACCUCAAUCCACUCCAACACAUAUAGAUUGAGAUAAAUCAUAUAACAUACAAACAAAGGCCUAACGCAGUAGUUGUCACACAUUGAAGGGGUGUUUGGUUGAGAUUGUUAAAGUUUAACAGGUACUAUAGCAUUUUUGUUUUAUUUGACAAUUGGUGUCCAGUCAUGAACUAAUUAGACUCAAAAGUUUCGUCUCGCAGAUUACUCUCUAGCUAUGUUUUUAGUUUCGUAAAUAGUUUAUAUUUAAUAUUUCAUGCAUAUGUCCAAACAUUCAAUGUGACAGAUAGUAAACUUUAACUGGUGCAACCAAAAAGGGCCUAUGUUCUCCACCCUUUUUCCACUCUCAUGUAGUUUUCAUAUAUUUUGUCCGUCUAAAAAAAAUGUAAUUCUAUAUUUCUGGAAGCAACACUCAAGUAAGGAGAGGUGAGAGCCAGGCUACAGUAGGUGGAAGCGACACCGAGAGGAAACAAAGAAUUGAGGGGAUUUUCUCCAUUGCUCUCUAGUAUCGAAUUUCGUGAUCAAUUGAAAUGGGAAGGGGAGAGAAUCCUGGAAAAACUAAGUUGGUCUAGAGUCAUAGCGUCUAGCACGAUUAAGGGAAGAGAAGCGACCAAGAUCAAAACAGCUGUGGUGGAGCAGUUUGCUGAGACAGCCAAACUUGACAAAGCAGGCAACAUCUUCAAUGUCUGCGAUAUACUAGCUUUUGCUCCGCUUUGGCUUCUAAUUUCAAGAGGCAUUGUGUGGCGUCCUCUCCACCACCACCACUGAUGCCUUCUACUUCAACUCGGUGGAUAUGCUCCUAAGAUCGACGCCUAUAAGGUUUUCUCCGAGGUUUGUCCUGCACUCUAGUUCACUCACUUCACUUGGGUCCAGGCCAUGCUCGACGAGCUCGGUGGCGCCACCUGAAUCCACAUAUUCGACUUCGACAUUAGCGUUGGUGAGCAAUGGGUGUCGCUCAUGUAGGAGUUGGCCCAACUCAAACCGAGCACGACAGUCAAGGUCACUACAUAUCUCAUCUAGACGGUUAUGGAGUGAAAUUCUAAAGCAUAUGUUGUAUCUUUCAUGGUUUGAGAUGUAUUUUUUAUUAAGUUUCUUAUAUGUUUUUUGUACUAGUUGUAGAACGAUAGAUCUUAGGGGGUGUUUGGUUAGGGUGUUCAAGUUUAACAUGUACUAUAAUAUUUUCGUUUUAUUUAAUAAUUAGUGCUCAAUCAGAGAUUAAUUAGUUUCAAAAGAUUUAUCUCGUAAAUUGCUCUCUAGCCAUAUUUUUAGUUUCGUAAAUAGUCUACAUUUAGUACUUCAUGCAUGUGUCUAAAUUUUCGAUGUGACGGACGGUAAACUUUACCGCUUCAAAUCAAACCGACCUAUGUCAAGGUUGAUUGUUAAAUUUGACAUAAGAACUGUUCAUAUAGAAUAUCAGUUGCGUGUUAAAAUAAAGCCUGAAACAAACCUGUUCACUUGAGCUUAUCAUCUAAAUCUAUCAACAACAAAUCAGUUUGCAGUACUUUCUAAAGCAUAUGUUGUAUAUUUUUAUCUUAGAUUUUUUAUAUGCAAAUUUAAGCUACGCUAUGCUGAGUUUUAAUAUAAUUCUUAUUUUUUUAGAAAAAAAAGAAACUAGAAAGAGUAUAAAAUUCCGUUCGCCGGUGAAAUGCUUGACACGGAAAGGUUAACAAGGCCAAUCGAAUUUCAACGAAGCAGAGUUCUGUACCUAGCACACUGCAUUCGUGUGCUGGAGAUUGACAGCCUCUGAUCACUUUUACUACAUGGCUUGAUGUAGUCUGUAUUACUGAUUCCUAUGUUUGGCCUUGUUCAGUUCACAAAAUUUUCUGAAAAACAACGUUGUAGCACUUCGUUUUUAUUUGACAAAUAUUGUCUAAUCAUAGAGUAACUAGACUUAAAAGAUUCGUCUCGCGAUUUACAGAUAAACUGUGUAAUUAGUUUUUGUUUUUAUAUAUAUUUAAAGCAUCAUACAUGUGCCGCAAGAUUCGAUGUAAUGAGAAAUCUUGAAAAAUCUUGGGAACUAAACAAGAACAGACUUAGAACUUAGUAGGGUUCUGGAUUCCUCUUUCUCGGGCCUUGUUUAGUUCAAAAAAAUUUGCAAAAUUUUUCAGAUUUCCCGUCACAUCGAAUCUUUAGACGUAUACAUGGAGUAUUAAAUAUAAACGAAAAUAAAAAUUAAUUACACAGUUUGGUCGGAAUUGAUGAGACGAAUCUUUUGAGCCUAGUUAGUCUAUGAUUGAACAAUAUUUGUCAAAUACAAACGAAAGGGAUAUAGUGUGGAUUUUCUAAAAAUUUUUGGAACUAAACAGGGCCCGAAUAGGCCCGAAUAUGAGAACUUUGGGAAGCCACACGAGUGACCACAGAGUUGCCGUCGCAGCAUGCAGCUCAAUGCAAUGCAAGCGGGAGGAGGAGCUUUCAGAAAAGUGGGAAGAUUGAGAAAAAUUGUCUUCGAUGCUAGUGGGAGGAGAGAGAAAAACUGUUUUGAUUGUAGUGUAAGGAGAAAGAAAUCUAAUGUAUUUAUUAUUAUAGCUGUCACGCGUUAUAUGAUGUGACAGCGUAGAUUAUUUUUAUAUAAUUUUAUAUAAAAAUAGUAAUAUUAAAAUAUCUAUUAUAUUAGUGGACAUAUGAUUUAUUUUAUUAUGUUAUCUUUUAUAGUAUAAAUCAAUCCAUUUGUUACCAUAGAUGUCACGCACUAAUGUGUGUCAGCUUUAACCAUUUUUUACACGAUUUCAUAUUACAGGUGCUAUUAAAUUAUUUAUUAUAUAAGUGACGUUUUGAUAUGUGUAUAAUUAACCUUGUCUUAUCUUUCAUGUAAUUUAUUUUUAUUAAUGAUUUACUAAUACUCCUUCCGUCCACAAUUAUCUAUCCGAUGCUAGUCUUUUUUAAGAAUCUUAAACCGUUUUAUGAAAAUGGCAUGCUGAUUCAAUAUUUAAAAUUUUUUGGAAAGUAAAGUACUCCGUAUUUCGGUGAUUCGAAAGUUUAGAAUCGGCCACACGGUGUGAAAUGGUUGCAGCCACGGGCCACGGCAAGUGCUGAUUCUUCGUUCUUGUACGAGGUAGUCCGAAACCAGAACAAGACUCUGAGUCCUAAUCUAGGAGUAUAAACUUCCGUUCCGCAGUGAAAUCUAUCACGGAUAGAGGCCAUUCGAAUUUCACGGCACCGAUUGUUAGCAGAGUUUUGUUUCAAACAGAAGCACCCUUUUUAGGCCUUGUUUACAUACGCCCAAAAGCCUAAAACUUUAUAAGAUUCCCCGUCACAUCGAAUCUUGCGGCACAUGCAUGAAGUAUUAAAUAUAGAUAAAAAGAAUAACUAUUUGCACAGUUUAUUUAUAAAUCACGAGACGAAUCUUUUAAACCUAGUUACUCCAUAAUUAGACAACGUUUGUCAAAUAAAAAUGAAAAAUACUACAUCCAAAAACCUUUUGCAUCUAAACAAGUCCUUAGUGCCGGAAAAGCUGUCUGAACUACUGCUAUCUCAAGAUGCAACUAUCAGUUAAAAUGCUUUAUAUUUAACAAAGCUUCCAGUAAAUAGUAUUCAUAUUAUGAUUUUAAAUUAAUUUAUUAUAAAAACAUAUUCUAUAACUAAUUUAAUAAUAUUUAUUUAUGACAUUAUACGUAUUUAUAAUUUCUUAUGUAUAAUUGGUCUAUACUAAAAUAUGACACAAUUUUAGAAUUACAUUUUUUAAGAAUAGAGGAGUACUACAACAGUUACGUGGAAGAGAUAUAGAACCAACACAGGUCUGCUUGGUUACUCCUAUUUUUUUAACAUCUAUCGUAUUAAAUGUUUGGAUACAUAUAUGAAAUAUUAAAUAUAAACUAUUUAUAAAACUAAAAACACAUCUACAAAGUAAUUUACGAGACAAGUUUUUUAAUCUAUAAUUAAACAUUAAUUGUCAAAUAAAAAAAACCGACAAUAUCAACUUUUAUACCUCUCCAAACAUCCCUAACAUGGCAGCUGUCACGCAUUAUGCGUGCCAGCCUUUGACCACUUUCACGUGGUUUUGUCUACUCUCUUCAUCCAAAAAAGCUGCAAAUUCAAGGACUGAGCACAGAAAUCAAGGUCUUGUUUAGUUCGUAAAAAUUUUCAAGAUUCUCUGUCACAUCGAAUCUUUGGUCGCAUGUAUGGAGCAUUAAAUAUAGACGAAAAUAAAAACUAAUUACACAGUUUAUCUGUAAUUUGUGAGAUGAAUCUUUUGAGUCUAGUUACUCCGUGAUUGGAUAAUGUUUGUCAAAUAAAAACGAAAGUACUACAGUAGCCAAAAACCAAAAAUUUUGCAAACUAAACAAGGCCAAGAAUAGAUGUGAAAUUACAUAAAUACACCUUGAGGUCUUGUCUGUUACACUCGAAAUCUAUUUUUUUUAAGAUUUCUAUAUACGAAACAUUAAAUAUAAAUUAAAAAUAAUUAAUUUUAUAGUUUACUUAUAAUUUACGAAACAAAUUUUUUGAGUCUAAUUACUCUGUGGUUGGACAAUAAUUAUCAUAUACAAACAAAAAUACUAUAGUAUCUUAAAAACUUUUUAUCUACGGAAGCAAACAAGGCAUAAACGAGUGGAUGAGAAGUUCGUGUCUUUUUUUCAUUAUUAUUAUUAGGCCAGUCUUAGUGGUCCGUUUCAAUGUACUGUUUCCAAAACAAAUCCACUGACAGGCAUCAAUGAAACGAACAAUGAAACAACCUCCACAAUGCAUGAGUUUUACCUUAACGUUUUCUAGGCUAAGCAAAGCAUUUAAUUACUGCAAAAUGAUUGGAUCACAUGCAAGAUUGUGAAACGAUUUAGCCCUCAGUGGGGAUUUCAUCCCGUUUCACCGCGUGGGAAACAACGCCCGCGGGGUUUCACCAUGGUGAAACUACUUUCUUCUCUCUUCUCUCCGUUUUAUGCAAAAAGUAUAGUUUUACUGAUAUGACGCUCUAAUAAAUGUGCAUGAUAUCCUAGUAAAACCUCUACUGAAACCGACCUUAUAGUGCAGCCGAUCACACAUGUGGUUCCUAAGGCUCUCCAUGCAUGUACACCUGGAGAAAUGGCUAGGAAGGAACUUUUUUUAUGCGUGGGUCUCACAUACCCCUAACAGGUGCAGUUCUUUUAAGAUAAAUUUUGAAUUUAGAAUUGUAGUCUUUUUUUCAGGAUGGAAAGUAGGCAAUUCUGUAUUUUGAAUAAUUCAAACUUUUCUAUGUUAAACUAAAAUUUUAAAAUCAUUAUCAAUAUUUAUGUUUUCAUUAGAUUUACUAUAAAAAUAUAUAUUCCAUUAGAAUGAUAUUUAUUCGGCACCUUUGUAAUUUAUUUAUAGAUUUGGUGAGCCUCCUCGAAAAAUGAUAAUUAUAUCAUAUACUCUUAUAAAGCUAAAUCCUACUAGAUGAUUUCUCUUUUCAUAUAAGGUGUCACACACCAUUCUCCACUAAGUGAUCCACUAAAUAUUCUAUCUCUUCAUGCAAGGUGUCCAUACCAUUCCCCACUAAGUUUAUGUCAUUCCAUAUUAAUUACAAAAAUAUCAUGUCAUCUAUAUCAUGUGAAAUACUUUAAAUAAUUAAUCUAUUAAUAUAUAUAAGUCAUCUACAUACAUUAUUUGUUUGAUCACUUAUUUCUCUACAAUGCAAUCAAAUAUUCAAUUAUUUUUCUUCUAUUAGCUCAGCGAUUGUUUACCAAAUCUAAUAUAAUACAAUAAUGUUUUAUAUAUAAUAAUGUUAUAUGUAUAUAAAAUAUACUUAGUAUCAUACAAUAAUGUUAUAUAUAUAAUACUUUUUUUAAAAAAAAAUCCUCAAGCAACACACGAGGGAUUUAUCUAGUUGUGUUUAAGAUAGAGGGAGUAGGAGAUAUUAUUAUUUUAUUUGUUUUCCUAUUCAGCUAGUUCUAUUUAUGUGUGUAAUCAUUUAAUCAACGUCAUUGUUGUUAGGCCAGUCUCAAUGCAUAGUUUCAUGUCACAGUUACCAAGACUAUAAAUUAGGUAACCGAGCAAGAUGAGUUUCAUGGGGUGAAACUCCUCUUUCAUCUGAUGAAACUCCUUCAUUUAAUGACUCUGCCAAGUCAGCAAUUUUGCUUAUGUGGCAUCUUAUUUAAUGUGCGUCACACUCCCAUGAAAUAUACAUUGAGACUAGCCUUAGGCCCCAUGGGAGAGCUCUCGGACUUGAUUCUCCGAUGAACUCAAUGGGAGCUCUCCUAUUUAAAGUGAUUCUUUAAAAUGAAUAGAACUAAGAGGGUGAGAGCUAAAACAUAUAGCUUUUCCUGAUUCUAUGUAAUUUUAAGAGUUUAUGCUAGAGAACCAAAGAGAAUCACUUUCAGAUAAAGAAUUAGAUGGAGCUCUGCUAAAGAAGCCCUUAACCAUUCAUGUGAUUCAUUUUCUCAUGAAAGAUUAAUGAUUUAUUAGUACUCCCUCCUUAGGUAUUUAUUGUUUUACUUUAUGUUAGCUAUAAUCAAAUCUCUUCUGGGUAUUUUAUUAAAUUAAUUUUUACAAACACACGAUUAGUUAGUUCUGGUGAAAACUGUUUAGAAGUUUCUUGAAAAGUAAUUUAGCAUUGGAACCACUCUAAUUAAGAGCAGAGCAGGCACAGGACGUGCCUACGAAAUUGUCUAUAAAAAAGACGUGCCUACGAACUAUCACCGUUGCUAGCAAGGUUAAGCUGAACUGCUGAUUAUUGCAGGAAUCCGAAACCAGAUCAUCACGCUCUAGCAGGAAUCCGAAACUAGCUCUAACGCAAGGACCAAAUGUUCAAUCGGUAGUGAAAACACCAGAAAAGGCACCUCACUAGCGUGUCCGGCGUCCCAACUCGAACAGCUUGUUCGCUCGCCGAAUUGAUCUACCAUAACAGGAAAUAAUAUUUCAACCAUAGCUUUUUAGCCAGAUGAGUGCAAAUCACUAAGGCUGUCUCCAAUGGGAGAUCCAUUUGGGAACCCAAACCCAAAAUGGGUCUUCAACACAAUACCUAUAGCCUCCAAACAGAGUACCCAUACAGAAGACCCAUUUUGUGUAUCAAGAGAGGCAUAACCCAAAUUUAGGUAUCCUCUCUCCUUGAGACCUAUUUGCAGAGAGUGUUGUCUCUUAGGUCUUGUUGUUGGAGAAGACUAAAAAUAGGUAUGGAACCCCAAAGGACAAAUGAGUAUUGUAUUUUGGGUAACAAUUGUUGGAGAUAGUCUUAGCUCACGCUCCCGUGAAAAGCAGCUGAUCGUUUAGCUGAAACAUAUGCUAUCUGUUUCACUGAAAAACUAGACUAAAAAGUACUUGUUUAUUAAUUUUGACGAUUUCGCCAACAUCAUUGAAAACGCCUACACACACGUACGUAGCUACAUUCUGCUAGAUCAUGAUUUCGCCAACGUCAUUGGAGACACCUAAGCUCUAGCUUGCAUCUAUGUCUAUCUUAGAUUUCUUUCAAUAAUGUUAUUUUAUUCCUCGACGUAACCAAACACCAUGAAUGCGCUAACGAGGCAAACAUUGCAAGAACUCUAAUAAAAUUUUGCCUACUUGUCAAAAAAAAAAUCGCCUUGAGAAAAAAAAAUCUUGGACAUUCGUGGGCCCUUGAGAAAAAGAUUCUUGGACAUUCAUGGGCUGUGAUGGUAGGUGAAGAAAAGACUACAUGGGCCCAUAUUGCCCAGUUUAGAUUUGAAAUUUUUUGGCUAAAGUGGUAAAAAUUUUUGUGGUCACAACACGCGAAAAAUUUUAGGUGUUUAGUUUGGCAAAAUUUUUUCUGACACAACUUGGGCUACAUGCAUUUGCAGUUGUCGUUGGUGGGCUUCUAUGGGAGUGCGUGCACAGUUGCAGCCAAAAUUUUUGUCCCAAAAUUUUUUGGCCCCGUUUAGUUCUCAGGCCCCAAUUCCAUAAAUUUUUUUCUCUUUGGGCCAAAAAAUUCAAAUCUAAACAGGGCCAAAAAAACAAAGAUCAAUUACAUCUAUGCCAUUAUAAAUUCGACAUUUACAUCUUAAUAAGGACGAGGCAUCAUCAUUUAUUGCGUACAUGUAUUUAUAAGGUCUGUAUAUACAUGUGUAUGUGUUUACGUUAUACUGUAUAAUUCUCAAAAAAAUAUGAUAUUUUGUACGACUAUACAGACAUAUGAAUAACUUUGUUUUUUGUAUGGACAAAAUUGUCACUUUCUCAGUUCCUCAUUCUCUCUUUCUCCCAUUCAUUGCAUAUGGGCCCCACUUGUUGGAGUCUCCCUCCCUCACUCUAUUGUCUUCUCCGUCUCAGGUCAGAGCUUAUCAGGCUGUUGCACUACUCACCAAGCCCGCAUGCUCGCGGCAACACUCGCCGAUUGGACCCACUCCACCACCCGUCAACUAUGUGCUUCGUCGCCGACCUGUCACGGCGGUCACAUGCUCGUUGUAGCACCCAUCCGAGUUCAUGUGUUAUGGUCGGUGUUACCACUAGACGAGACUAAAAGGUCUAUAUUUAAUCUGGAUUGAUGUUACCAAUUGGGACUAAAGUUUUUCCGACGUCUAAGAAACUUGGACCCAAGACUAAUGAUCACAUUAAUCCUGAGUCCAUUUAUACCAAGACUAAUAUGCUAAACUGAAAGUCAUUUUCUCUACUAGUGGUUAUGCAUAUAUAUAGACAUGUAGUGAUGUAGUUAAGGCCCGUUUAAGGUUUUUUACACUAAUAACAAAGUUUCCUUUACAAAAUUAUAAUACCUGUUUUGACUAUAUAUGCCAUCGAGUUGGGGAUGACAAAGAUAAAGUUGUAACAUAGUCAAAGUUAGUUAAGUAUCUCUAUAAAUAUUGUUAAUUUACAGCAAAAACGAUAAUUCAUCUAUUUUUAAUCAUAGUAUUAUGAAAUGCGACAAUUCAUUUAUUUUUUGUUAUGAAUACUUACUAUACAUGUAAAAUUACUAAAAAUUUAAUAAAAUAUAUACUUAUGUGUAUCAUCCUAUUUGUUCGACCCUCCUUAAUCGAAGUUGUUGGCUCCACCUCUGGCUGAUAGGUUCCACCACAACAAAUCUGCUAACCGAUUAAGGUAAGAGUGCUUCCCCAACGCUAAAGAAGUUUUCGUAUCUCUUUUCUCUACAGAAAAAAAAACAAAGGAAAUGUUGUGGUCGGUGUUGUGUGAUGUUGUGUGUGUUGGGUGGUCGGGGGACUAGCUGCCGGGUUGGAGAUGUGAGGAUUCAAACAAAACAUGAAAUGCUCCAGAAUGCUGGGCAUUUUUUUUUGUUAGCAAUCCACUGAAAACUCAAUCGGGAGAAGAAUAAUAAAUGUUUUAAACCAGAAAGAUGUUCCAAGCAUGUACGGGAAUUCUACUCGCAAGUCAUUAAAAGUAUACUCUUAGCAAAAAGAAAUAGGUAAAAACCUGAAAUUCUACCAGUAAGAAUGUUUUUAAGAUUUAGCAAAACUAUUGUUCUUCUGUACCUCAUUAUUAUAAGAAUUAUUUCAUCCAAAAUAAAUAAACUGUUCUGAUCAAUAAAAGCGUACUGUAGAAAUUAGGAUAACUUUAUUACUGUAUCUGUAUCGUUUUACCAAGAAUAAGAAGAAGAAGAAGAAGAGUGAUUAAAAAAUACUUUCCUGACGAUAACAAAAUAAAAAUUUACUUUAGGUAUUUUUUUCCUCAAAACAAAUCAAUGAAUAGUUUUCUUCAGUCAUAACUUUUCAGACAGACGAAUAGCUCUAAAAGCCUAAAUGACUUAUUUUAGGAACGAAAAUGAGUAAAUGACAUCUUCAUUCUUAAAGCAUCAACGUGAAAGUAGUAUCUUAACUCAGUCCGUAGAUGUAGGUUAAAUAUAAAUUAUCAUCACUAAAAUGGCCUGUUAUAGGAACAAAAAUGGCUAAAAACAUACAUAAAAGAGAUUUCAGAAAUUGCUUAAAUAUCGAUCGAUCGAUCGAACACUCAACGCAGAAGCGAGAUCACUGAAGCAAAGCAACGACAAAAGUAUAAGAGUACAUGGAACAUUCUACUGAUGGUCGAUGAUGACAGACACAACUGAGCACGCAUGCAAGCUGUUUUUUUUUUAUUCUUAUUAUUCAGAAGAUUCUUCAUCAGAGAGCGGGGCACGCGCACGACGUCCAGUAUGAAGUCUUCUACUCACGACGGCGGCCGCCGCAGCUAGGCGCGGGCUCCGCCUCCUCCCCGCCGGCGACGAGGUGCUCGUACAAGACGCCGGAGAGGCCGGCGCCGACCAUGGGCCCGACCCAGUACACCCAGUGGUUUCCCCAGCGUCGGGAGCCCACGACCGCGGGCCCGAACGCGCGCGCCGGAUUCAUCACGGCGCCCUCCAGCGCGCCGCAGGCCAGCACGUUGGCGCCCGCCAGGAGCCCCACGGCGAGCGGCGCCGCCACGGCCCCGGCGCCGGCGCCGGCGCGGACCCUCCGCGUGUGGUGGUCCAUGACCGUGACGAAGUAGGCGUGCAUGAGCCCGAACGCCAUCGCCGCCUCCAGCACCGCCGCUUGCCACCCGCUCACGCAGCCCGCCAGCGCGUACUCCGGCAGAUGCUGCGUGGACGAAACAUGUGUGUUUAGUUGUCGCGUUAGUCAGCUUGCACAAUGCAAGGCGACAGUUUUAUGUAGCUUAGCUGUUUCAGUUUAUCGACGGGAACGGGAUCGAGUACACACGUACCAUCCCUCCGGUGGCGAGCCUGAGGACGAGCGCGGCGGCGACGGCGCCGAGCAGCUGCGCGGCCCAGUAGACGAGGGAGCGGACGAGGCAGAUCCGGCCGGCGAGCAGCGCGCCGAAGGUGACGGCCGGGUUGACGUGACCGCCGGAGGUGUUGGCGGCGCACGCCACGGCGGCGGCGAGCGCGAGAGCGUGCGCGAGCGCCACCACCACCAGACCGCCCACGACGCCGCCGCCCUUGUCAUGGCGGUGCAUUCUCCCUGCGUAGCGUAUGUAAGUAGUAGGCACACGUGAGAGGUUAGUUGGUUACGACGUACGUACAGCAACGUGUAUACGCAGGGUAGGUACCGAGGGAGAGCGUGGCGCCCUCAGCGGCGAAGACGAAGAUGGCGGUGGCGAGGAGCUCGGCUGCGGCGCGGCGGAGCGUGGCAGGGUCCGUGGCCGUGGCCAUGUGGCCGACGGUGAACCGGCGCCGUACCGACCUGAUCAUAUUCAUGGCUAGCUGAUCUAUCUAUCUAAUCUGUCAGGCGCUAGGUUACAGAUCGGAUUAUCCGAUCGAGACCUGGUUAUUACUGCCACUGGCAGCGAGCUAGUAGGGAUAACGAUGAGGGCUGGCGGCGAGGGUGCUUAUAACGCGGGGGGAGAUCGGAAGAGACGACGGAGCGUCACGUUUUGGAGCGUGCAACGAUUUGCCGUAUGCAGGCGUGCGUGGUGCCUCGUCAGUCACACACACCGGACCGGAUCCUAUAUAUCCGCCGUCGGAGGAAUAAAGCAAAGCACGGCCGUCGAUGGAUGCACACCUGCAUGCAUGCGUUUCGACGUCAGGCAGUUCCUUCUUGUGGAUCCAAAGGCCUGGCGUGCAAGCUUUGAUGUGUGUCGUCGUUUUGGCCUGGAAAUCAGUUGGCAGAAGUGGCCUGGAAAAUCAGGCUUUGAUGUAUCUACUGUCAGUACUCUGUGUGCUGCCUAAUAAACUGGCCUUGGCCAGGCCAGCUAUUAUCCAUGUUUUGCUUCGAUUUUUUUGUGCUUUUAAAUCUUCUGCAUUUUUUAGAUGGCCUUUUAUUUUCUAGCGUGCGUGGGCACGGCCGGUUCAAAAGCUAGCGUUUCUACCACCACGUCGGACGUUUAUCCAGUCUAGCUACUAGAGAGUUCUUUGUUGGGCGUUGCUACUUUUUUAAGCGAGCACAAUUUCCCCGUGUGUUUUCCGUCAGCCGUGUCCAGAGAUGAACAGUUUUGUGGCACAAACUAUACUGCUAUGUAGUGUACUCCGUAACUACAAGUAUAUAUUGUGUUGCUGUGUAUAAUGUGGUGUUAGGGACGUGGCAAUGCCAUGGUCGUUGUGUACAAAUUAACAACUUCAAUGCGCCCUUCGGCUAAGUUGUUUUAGCCCAAAAACAUUUUCCCCCAAAAUCGAGUAAAAGUAUGUAAAUUUGCAAUUUGAAAUAUCAUGUAAUUUAAUAGCACAUAAAAUCCAAUUCACAAAGCACAUAUAAAAUUAAGGUUUGAAAUCUGAAACUAAGUUCAAAAGUAUUCAAAUCAUGCUCUCCAGUUCUUUGGAGAUGCCUGUGAUGCACAUGCUUAACAUACAAAUUAAGAUUUGAGUCGUUACAAGAGAAGCACCAUGUUUUCUUCUUACGAGCCACAAAGUUGGCGUAAGUUUGUUCGGUUUGGUCUUCAAUCGGUCUUCCUUCCAUUAUGUCCACCCCUAGGAUGCUAUGGGACCAAGCAUGUGAAACAGUGCAGCAACUAGGGUCUUCAGUGCACCCUAAUCAACAUUGAGGCCUACUUUGGAAGAAGGGGGAGCAAAACCAAGGAUUGAAAACCCUUCAUUAAGAACUAAGAUGAUAAUUAAAAUAAUAUCCUCAUGUUACCCACCUAGGGAAAAGUUUGGGAUCCCGGAGGGAUUAAAGUUUCCAAAUUACGUAUUAUAUACAUUACGGAGAAAACUAUAUCAACAACACUACGUUUGAAUUCAGAUUCUAGCUCGGAGAGCACCAACAAAGAGAUCAAUAGACACAACACAAGUACCCCGAUUGGAAUGCACAAACUGGAGUUCGCCCUUGGUCCCUCUAGGACCGGAGACAAUUUAUGCAAUUAAUUACGUACACACAGAAGUAGCUAAACAAUUGUUCAAACAAAGAGGAUAAUGGUGACAAACAACAAUUGUUCAAGAUAAAACAAUUCUUGUUCAAACAAAGAGGAAUUGUAUUCCUGAUCAGUUGGGGGAACUGAUCCCGUCAGAGCAGAGCAGUACUAAUUACCUAAGGAGUUGGUUCAAGAGAUGUUGGUCUAUGGACUCGUAGUUAGUCGACCUGUCUCUCCUCCACCUGGAGCGGAGGUAGAUAAGCCGUUCGUCCACCUUGUAGAAGAUCCUACGCAGCAGAUAGGCGACUAACCAGCACACAUGCCCGGCGGUGUUGAUGAGAGAGGGUCGUAGGCGAUUUUCCCUGCGCAUGGCCUGCGCCGCUUCCGGAUCACCGUCCGUCGUCGGAAGCACCCGUCACCACCAACGCCGUGCCGGCUGCCAUCAAAACUUGACCGCCCAGCCCAGCAGCUGUCAGCAGCGCCGCGUCGUCGUCGUCGUUCCCUCACCGUAUCCGCUCCCUUCCAGUCCCAGCGCGCGGCGCCUGGCGGCCAGUCGGACCUCGAUCGGUGCAAUAUAAAGGCGGCGUCUGCAUUGUGAGUAGCCUAAGUGCAUAUAUCGAAGAAUCGAAUCCUGAAUGGUCAGGUCCAGAGAAACAAUGAAUGGUCAGCCCUGAAUGAUCAAUUUUGCUCAAAAAAUAAAAAUGGAAGUUCGAAGUAGCUCGGCUCACUUUGUCUUUCUGGCAUAAUAAGGGAAGGGUAAUUAAACAAAUUUGGACAAUCGAUCUGAUCAGUUGGUAGCAUGUGUACAAGUGGCAGAAACUCAUCAUUCACCACCGAACAAAGAGGACUAGCGUCUUGCGAUCUCCGAUCUCUGAUCCUCAGCUCGACUGGUUAUUUGAUGGAUGAUGGACAGGGAACUGAUGAUUUCUACCUCUUGUUAAUUAAACCAAACGUCUCCAAAUUCUCAAAUUCGAUCCACCUUGGAGCCCCGCGCUGCCUGAAUCCUAAGGAAAUUCGAUGAAGAUGACGUGCGACUUUGAUGUUUGAUUUGAAUGGGUGUAAGUAUACUGCGGUUGUCCGAGUACGAAUCGGAGGAGAAAUCGAAGCCAUAUGCAAUUGGGGUUAACCUCCACUAAUAGACGUAAUUUAGCCAUUUUUCUAAUGCACGUUCAAAAAGCCCCUAUAGCUCAGUGGUAGAGCGUCAGUCUUGUAAACUGAAGGUCCGUAGUUCGAUCCUGCGUGGGGGCAUUUUAAUUUUGCUUCAUCCUUUUUAACAUGUAUUUCGCCACUUAUAAACCGGUUAUUAUAUUAUUAUUACUCGGUAUAUAUGUCACUGCAUUUACACACAAAAUGCCACUGCAUAGAUAUGUUGCCAAUCUUGGCGCAAAUAAUCUGCCUAUGUUCAUAUAAAAUUAUUUUUUCUCAUAUUCUUCUGUUGCUCAUCUCUCGGCCAUAAGUUUUAUGCCAUUUAUUUAGAUUUAGGCAUUUACAUGCAAAAUGCCACAAAGGUACAUCGUCAAACUUGGUGCAAUGAUGUGCUUGUGUUCAUAUAAAUUUUUGUUUCCCUUAUAUUACUGUGAUGUUUUUUCCACUAGCAAAUAUGCACGUGCGACACGCACGUGUUUUUCAAAAACACCAUUGCACAAUUAAUGUUAUGUUAGAGCAUUCCUUAUUUCUCAAUGUAUAUAUCAAUAAAAGCGUCAAUAAAAUCUCAAUAUUGUCUAGAAGAUGGAUAAAAAUAUGUGUUUAUAUAUAUUAGCAAAGAGCAUUAACGAAUUAGCAAUAUAACGAAGAUUGGAUAAGAAUAGAAAAAAACUAUAUAUUUAUUAAAUUAGAAGUCGUACGUGAGAUCGAGUCCUACGCGAGGUGAUGUGAGAUUGAGUCUUAGGUUGAGAGGAGUCAUACAUGAGAUAGAGUCGUACAUGAGAUCGAGUCCUAUGCGAGAUGAUGUGAGAUUGAGUCUUAGGUUGAGAGGAGUCUUACAUCUUAUAUGUAAGAUCUUGGAUAAUGGAGGGCUCACAUAGUACGUCGCUUAAAUCGAACGGUUAUUAUGGAGAGAGAGCCAUCUUAAAAAGACUCGCUCUUUUAUAGUGUGAUGAUGAUGAUGAUGAAUAUGAAUAUAAACACUUUUCAUCUUCACUUAAAGCUCUUCGUCGAGACACCCACCCAUCUAACAUAAUGAACAAAUGUGUUGUUGGCCUGUUCAUAUGCAUGCACUCUACGUUUCCUCUCUUUCGUCGAAGCCUUCUAUUGUCGAGACUCGAGACGUUAUAUACCUAUAACUGAAACAAUAACAAUUAGCUAAACACAACAAAUUUACGCACUAACUCGUAUAAAUUAUUAGGUGCAUUUGGAUUGAUGCACGCGGCAGCCCAGCCAAGGUUUGAGCUUAUUUACUUUGGGGACAAUGAUGGUUGUUUUGCACCCUAACGAAUAUUUGGCACACAUUUCAUUUUUCUAGCCCUCAAGUAGUUGAUUCCCAGCUCGUCCGAGUUUGGCCAGCCAAUGGUAUAAACGUGGGCAUAGUAACAAGUCACACUCAUUUAUGUUUUGAAAGACAUAAAAAUGUGAAAAUAAUCAUGCCCUAAGAAACACCGUUAAUCUGCGCCAUAUUUCGGGUCUUUCUAAUGUGGCAUAACUUCUGAGCAGCUCCAACUUUAUUAGUUUAUUUUUAUUUUUAUUUUUUUGGGUGGGUUUGAAUUACUCAUGGCUGUUCAGCAACAAUUACAUAUAUGUGUUCUAUAUGUGAGCUAAUAGCAGUCUCAGUUCCUUCAACAUAACUACACUACACAACUAACAAUUUCACAGGCGACCUUGUUAAUUAAAAUCUCUAGAACUUGAGAACAUCGAAUGGCUAUGCGAGAUGGGUUUCACUAAUAAAACAUCAAGGGUUAAAGCUGUUUUUACUUAAACAGAUAAAGCCAUGACUUAGAGCAACUCAACAAGAUUGAGUAAAAUCAAUCUUCCUUUCCCUAUACCAAGCAAUAAAGAGGACUAAAGCCAAAGAAAAACGCUCUCAAAAUUCCUUUCCCAACACUAGUUUCCUCCACACUCUUUUUCCUCUCUCAUGUCACUAACACCUAGGUCCACCAACUCGUGGAGCAAGCGCCACAACACCGGGCGCGCGUCACCAUUGAAUUCUGCGUAUGCCAAAGCUCAUAAAGCAUCGUCUUGGAUAAACCUUGUAAUGUAUUUACUGGUCAUCAAACAGUGAUAUAAGCUAGCCAGUGGGCGCCGCCGCGUCGUGCCAAAAGCUUAGGACGGUUGCGACGCCUAGCUGUUGUUGCCGCGCGCUAGGUGGUCAGCUUCUAGCCAUGGCAGCUAGAUGAUCGCCGUGAGAGAAUAUAGAUAAGAAAGAGAAAAGAGGGAGAAAGGAAAUAAGAGUGCUAAGAAUGACACAUGGGUCCAAUAAAAAAUAAAAAGGGGAAUGGAUUUUCCCUAUUUGUAAUCCAUCUUCUCUAUCUCCAGCAAUCUAGUACUCUCAUCUCUUAGGCCUUGUUUAUUUCUAAAAGAUUUUGCAAAAUUUUUCAAGAUUUGUUGUCAUAUUGAAUCUUGCAGCACAUGCAUGGAACAUUAAAUAUAAAAAAAUAAAAUAACUAAUUGCAUUGUUUGUCUGUAAUUUGUGAGACGAAUUUUUUAAACCUAGUUAAUUCAUGAUUGAAUAAUAUUUAUCAAAUACAAAUAAAAUUGCUACAAUAUUUAUUUUGUAAUUUUUUUUGCAUCUAAUCAAGACCCUAGUAGCAUCGUGACUUGGUAGAGAAAGAGGAUCGUGUUGCUCACCUCUUAGGCCUUGUUUAGUUUUCAAUUUUUUUCAAGAUUUUCGGUCGCAUCGAAUCUUUGGAUACAUAUAUAAAACAUUAAAUAUAGAUAAAGUAAAUAACUAAUUAUACAGUUUAUCUGCAAUUUGCAAGACAAAUCUUUUGAGUCUAGUUAGUCUAUGGUUGGACAAUAAUUGUCAAAUACAAACAAAAAUAUUACAGUAGCUAAAAUUUUCCACCAACUAACCAAGACCUUGUUUAGUUCAAAAAAAAUUACAAAAUGGAACUAUAGCACUUUCAUUUUUCUUUGACAAAUAUUGUCCAAUCAUGGAUUAACUAGGCUCAAAAGUUUCGUCUCGCAAAUUACGGGUAAACUAUGUAAUUAGAUUUUCUUUUUUAUUUAUAUUUAAUGUUUUAUGCAUAUGCCGCAAGAUUUGAUGUGACGAAUGAAAAAUUUUGUAUUUUUUUAAAAAAACUAAGGCCUUGUUUAGUUCCAAAAUAUUUUGGGAAAUGGGCACGAUAACACUUUCGUUUGUUUGUGAUCAAUUUUGUUCAAUCAUAGACUUAAUAGGCUUAAAAGAUUCAUCUCACAAAUUACAGACAAACUAUAUAAUUAGUUAUUUUUUAUCUAUAUUUAAUAUCUCAUAUAUGUGUCACAAAAUUUGAUGUGACUGGAAAUAUCAAAAGUUUUGUAAAAUUUUUGAGGAACUAAACAAGGCCUAAGGCCUUAACCUUUUGCGGACA
rnacentral:lncRNA from 1 species